rnacentral:lncRNA from 1 species
GGUCGGGCGGGGUGGCUAUGACUCAGCUAUGAGCCCAUGACUCAGCCAUGACUCAGCCGAGGCACGAGUGCAACUUACAUCCCCCCCCGCCCGACUUCCUCACCGGCCACAAUCACUUGCUUCUUCAUUGAUGACACAUACACACAUACACACACACACACACACACACACACACACACACACACACACACGCGCGUAUGUACACGUAUACAACAGGCUCUGGCCAAGACGCAGGCGCUGCAGCUGAAGCAAGACCUGGUGGGUGGGUGGGUGGGUGGGUGGGUGGGUGGGUGGGUGGGUGGGUGGGUGGGUGGGUGGGUGGGUGGGUGGGUGGGUGUGGUUGUGGGUGGGUGGGUGUAUGUGGGGAGGGAUCGCAGAUGGGCGCAGAGGAGAUACGCCUGUGAAACCUCAAGCCAACUUCCAUGCGGCACCCUACGUGUACACUUCAUCCCUUCUGGCUGCUGUGUAACCCCCUACCUGCCCUUCCCCCUGCCUGCCUUACCCCUACCUGCUGCCCUUCCCCCGUGCGCCUGCACCUGCCUUCACGCCUUCAGGGCAGCGCCAUCCUGGUCAACAAGAUGUUUGACCAGUUCGCCACGGCGUACGGCAAGCAGUACACGCCCACGCAGGCGCUGGUGGCCCGCAAGGCCUUCGAGACCAACCUGCAAACCAUCGCCAGCAUCAACCUGGACGCCGCCAGCACCUUCACGGUGCGUGCGUGUAUGGGCAAGCCGCCUCACCUACCUAUGCACCUACCCCGAACCCACACGCCUGCACGCACGCACGCACGCACACACACACACACACACACACACACACACACACACACACACACACACACUCACAAUGCCUGCCUGCCUGCCUGCCUGCCUGCCUUCACCUCCCCGCCGCCCGACGCCCCCGCAGGCCAGCUGCAACGCCUACUGCGACACGGACUUCGACACCUUCCAGCGCCAACAGCUCAUGGACGUGGGCUCGCUGGGGGACAUGCCCACGGGUGAGCGGCGGGGCAGAGGGGCGAGGAGGGAGGGGGGAGGCAGGGAGGGGCAGUGAACAGACAGCAGGAGCAAGGUGGGGUCGGGAUGAUGAGGGAGGGAAGUAAGGUGGCAGGGAAGACGGGAUACGACACGAGUUUGGUGUCGGUAUAUAUGGUAGCCAUAGAGCAGCGGCUUGACCGCAUGACCGCAUGACGCAUUGUGCGUGGCUUUCUUUUGGCGACGCUCCUCUCCAUCAUGCGCAGGCGCGGACGACCUCCCCGGCUCUGACGGCGUGGGACCCGGUGACGCGGGUCCGGGGGGUGACGCCACCGGCGGGCCCGGGCGGCGGCUGCAGCAGUCGUGGCCGCCCGCGGUGGUGGACUGGCGCGCGGCGGGCAAAGUGACGCCCAUCCGCAACCAGGGCGGCUGCGGCAGCUGCUGGGCCUUGUGAGUUACUGUAUGUUUGUGCGUGCGUGUGGUGUGUGGCGGAGCGUGUGUGGUGUGUGGCGGAGCCGACGCCCAGAUCGAUCCUGACCGCAGAGGGGGUUGGAUGCUAGGUGCUGCCAUUUCCACAUCCACCCGCCAAGCAAUUUCCUAAACCCGCCUUCACUUCUUAAACAACCAUGAAUGUAACCCCCCAAGAUGGCCUAGGGUCUACCACUUCCUCAGCUAAUCAUGAAUGUAACCCCCCCACCACCACACACACACAGGUUUCGUUUCGUUUUUUAACACACACACACACACACACACACACACACACACACACAUCCCUCCCCAUGAUGUGCAGCGCCGCCACUGCCGCGCUGGAGUCCAACUACCUCAUCCGCUACGGCUCCGGCCCCGCCUGCGACAGCCUGGACCUGUCGGAGCAGCAGCUGGUGUCGUGCGCCAACAAGGACGAGGGGUACGGCGGAAGCAAGUGAGUAUAGCGACAAGGACGAGGGGUACGGAGGCAGCAAGUGAGUAUAGCGACAAGGCUGCCGGGACGGCCUACACUGCUAAUGGGCGAUGCGGCAUGACGUGGGAUGGUGUGGGAGGAUGUGGGAUGAUGUGGGGUGGUGUGGGACGGUGUGGGAUGAUGUGGCUGAUGUGGCUGCCGGAGUGCGUUUCACGGGCCCAGCUAGCCCCUGCCCCCUGUCCCCUGGCGGCGUCACUCUCAAGUACGGUACUCGCCCCCACCUGGCCGCCCCAGGGGCUGCUCGGGCGGCUGGAGCACGGACGCGCUGGACUACGUGUACAAGCGCAAGCAGAUGACCGAGCGCUGGUGAGGUUGAGGGAGGCAGGGGUAGGGAAGGGAAGGGGCGGGAGGGCAGAGCGGCCGGCCGGAUCCUUCUUCCUCACGUUCGGGUUGCACUUGGACCUUUGACCGCCGGUGCAUUCCCAGGAGACGCGCACCCAACCGCCCACCUUCACUUUUAUAAAAAAAAAAUCAAUCAUGAAUGUAACUCCCCCGCCCCCGCCCCCGCACACGCCCGCAGGUGGCCCUACACCCAGUCCACGGGCACCUGCAACCGCGGCAUGCCGGGCCCGGGCGAGCGCAUCGCCACCGGCCGCUCCUUCUACCUGAGCACCGCGGCCAGCGAGGACAGGCUCAAGCGGGUGCGUGCCCUAGGGGGGCCGGGAGGGACGGACGUGACUCUGUGUGUGACCGCCGUGCGUUUGUGUAUGCGCGCCUUGCGGUAUUCCCCAACCCUCCCCCUGUUCCUGGGUACGCCUUCACUUCUUAAGUAAUCAUGACUGUAACCCCCCGCCUUGCUACUUGUGUCUUCUGCUUGCCGUGUCUUGAUGUCUGCCCGCCGCCCUGCCGCUGCCCCCAUGCCGUUCUCAGUGGGUGGCCAUCGGUCCCACCGUCAUCUACUUUUGUGUGGAGGACUCAUUCCGCUGGUACACGGGCGGCUACUACAGCAGCAACACCUGCGGCACCUGCCACAACCACGCCAUGGUCGCGGUGGGGUACACGUGAGUAGUCCCGGCCAUGGUCGCGUUGCACUGCCCCGCGCUUGGGCCUCUGCUCCAUCCUUUCCAGCCUCCCCAGGCUCGCUUGUCCUUGCUCGCCUGACUGUGCGCCUCCCUCCCUCCCUGCUUCCCUCCCUUCCUGCCUCCCUAUUUCCCUCCCUCCUUGCCUCCUUGCCUCCCGCCCUCCGCAGUGCCACCGGCGCCAACCCGCACUGGCUGAUCCGCAACUCCUGGUGAGCGAGCUCCCGCCCGACCCCCUGCCGCCCACAAAUGUUGAGGCCACCAACCAGCCAUUACAUGCACCUAAUAACCUAACAUUGGCGGAGCUGCUCUCACCUGCUCACCUGCCGCCGCUGCUGCUGUCUACUGCUGCUGCUGUAGGGGCACUGGGUGGGGCGGCUGGGAGUUUGGCUACAUCCGCGUGCGCAUGCAGGGCAGCACCGCAGGUGGGUGGAAUGGAGAAAGAGUGGAGGGGAGGGGAGUGGAAAAGAGUGGAGUGGAAUGUCAGGGAGGGCAGCAGCUGUUGCAUUCAUCUCGUGCGCAACUGCGCCUCAACCUAACCGGCAUGGCUAGGCAGCGAACUAUGCGGCAUGGUUAGCUAGGCACGCAGCAGGGCGUGUGCUGUGACCCGCUACCGUCCCCUCGCUCCUUACCUGCAUUGCGCACCGUGCCCUCAUCACGCACACCUACGCGCCACCCGCCCUCGUGCCUGCACACACGCACCUGACCCCUCCCAUGCCCUCCCGCCAUCUGCACCGUCUUUGCAACCCCUCACACCUUCGCCCCCCCCCCCCUAUUCGGACCUAUUUCGUGCGCGCAGGCCCGUGUGGGCUGCACCAGACAGCCAUCGCCCCCACCUUCCAGUUCACGGAGACGCUGUCCUCGCGCUGCCCGCCGCCGCCGCCCAAGCCGCCGGCGCCGUGCCGCGGCAUUUUCUGCAACAUCGACAUCUUCCGGCCCGGCAUCAACAUUGUCGACCUUGUGAGUUCCGCAACCUAAACGGGUGGUACACUUAUGAUAUCUAGCUUAGCAUUUGCGAUCAGUAGAUGAAAGCAACCUCCGGCCAUCACAUCUCACAUCUCUGACUUAAGGCAUCUUUCCAGGCAGCCACGGCGGUCAAGGCAGCCACGGCCACAUAACCAACCAUUUACGCAACUCACUCAAUUGCCCCGCCUUGCUCGCUCUAAACACACACAGCUCCCGUCGCCCUCGCCGCCGCCGCCCUGCACGAGCAUUCUGUGCAAGGGCCUGGUCACCGGCGUUGACAUCACCAAGAUAUUGACGCCCACGCCCGCGCCCGUUGUCAACAUAAACGACAAGAUUAAUCAGGUCAUCAACGGCGGCGGCCUUGGGGGCUUGGGCCGCCACCGCCGUUUGGGUGCCGCCGACACGGCCGCUACUGCUGCUACUGCUAAGGAUGCCACAGCUACUGCUACUGCCGAGCAGCAGGAGGAGGAGGAGCAGGUCCUGGAGUUGGUGGAGGAGGAGGAAGAGGAGGAGGAGGAGGUGGAGGGGGAUGAGAACAUUGAGAUGGAGGGGCAGGAUGAGGUGCACCAUCAGGCGGUGUGAGCAGCCACCCUAGCAACGCCACCAACACAUGCGCACGCGUGCACAUGUGCAUGCGCACGCGCCACUGCAGAGGGCAUUCACACGUGUACAUAUGCAAAAUGGUUUGUACGUACGGAUCCACGCACGCACGCACGCACGCACGCACGGAGAAGAUACGCGCACGUACGGCAGAGGUAGGGAGGUACCGGCGCAGCUGACACCAUGUCUCAUGGCGAGCCGAUACGGUGGUACGCGCGCAGAGCUUGUGCACCAAAAUACACUUGACAAAUGGCACAGCUGAUGUGAUUGUUGAACCUGGUUUUCAUUUUUGGUGGUUUACGUGGUACGGCACUUGAGAUGGGCGCGGAUGGACGCGGUAUACUGGGCCAACCGCUUAUUUUGGGAACUGGCUGGUGUGUGAGCAAGAUGGGUCCUGCUGGGGUCAGUGGCGUGGCAAUUUGUCGUGUGAAGCCCUGAUGAUGGAAAAUAAUGAUCAAGCAACACCCCGACCUCAUAAUACAUAAUGCCGCGGGGGGCAGGUUGCAGCGGGUUUACUUCCUCUUUGCUUUCAAUCGCCUUCUACGUCUUCCCUCCUUCCGCCUGCCUUCCCUUUCUAUCUCUUUCUCACUUUGAUUACUUGGGCCGUCGAUGUUGAAGCAUGGAAUUGUGGCUAGCUGGCGUGACAGCCGCGUGCAGGUGGCUGCGUGAGCGAGGUGUGCGCGCUAGUUCCAACAUAAAUUGCCACGACGUAUAAACCGCCAUGGAAAUUGUCGGCGGCGUGCACAAAACCAGUAGGAAGUGGGACCUUUUGUGACUCUGUGUAUGGGUGCGUGCUCCGUAAGUGGGGGGAGGUGAGGGUGCGGGCGCUACGCCGUUGAUCCUCCACCCAAGCCCCAGAGUGUUGAGUCGCGCGUGCAGAACUUGCGAAGCCUGCUGGAUUGUUUUCCUGGAUAAAUGGAACAGCUGAUAAAUAUUUGCGGCUUUGUUUGGUGAAAUGGUUUUGCGAAUGGGCUCGGAGCUUUCUGUACUGUUAAAUGCGAACCCUUCAUCUGCGCUGGCCGCGCACGCAAUAACACCGCGCUCACGCUAGGCUGCUUCGUCUGGUGUGGCGCCGGCAAGAGCACCGUGAGCAUCCCAUUGUGAUCAUAAGUGUGCGGCACAACGGGCUGGGAGCCCCAGGUAUAUACGGUAUUGGUGUGGCGCCAUGCAUGGGAUAGGAUCGUGCCGGACUUCCUGUUUGGAUGCAUGUAUGCAUGCGGGUGUGCAGCGCUGCGCUGCUGGUUUCAGAUGUGGCGGCACCUGCGUCUGCCGCCACGAGGGCGGACCCGGGUUGAGUGGGCCUCGGCAGCAUACGAUGGUCCGUGUGUGCUCGCACACUCAGGCCGACCCCCCUCUUGCAUUGCCGCAAACAUUCGUCAUGUGGAUUUGGGGGCCUCCAUGGUUUCUAUCGCCGUCUCCCCAGAGGCGGGGACGGACACGUGUGUACAUACGGAUUGCGAUGGAAGGGUGUGGACAUCACGUGUGCAUGUGCAUGUAAACUACUUCCACGGCGCACGUGUGCCCAAAUGCAUCACGCGACACUGGCACCUGCGUGCAUUGACACGGCAGGCCCCCGUGCUGCAGUGCUGCAGCCCAGCUGGCACCUACAUAUGACCAGCAGGGCUUUUGAGUUUUGACCCGCCAGUCCCACCUACCCAUGAUCAGCCUAUGCCUGGCUAACCAGUGGGCCCAAGCCGGGACGCUGGAACGCAAACAACAGGCGUAGCGCCUUGCAGCGGGGGCGUGCGUUACAAAACUGUCCAAAUGAACUGGUGGUAUGGAAGCGUGUUCGUGGAGAGCGUCGCGCGUGGGCGAGGACUCUGCUGGCCCACCCCGUGCCCCAGCAGCCCCAAGGCCCCUGGCACUUUCCUCCGUCAUGCGCUUUACGCAUUUAGCCUCUGUCAACCACCUGGAAGCGCUGUAGAAGACGUGAGUCCCUGUGACUUCAGACGCCAGACAGCAGCACCACCAACAAUCCCACUCCUGCCAUUACCUCGCAACACACAGAUUGAUAGCGCUCCCUGUGUCUCGCACUCUCUCGCUCAACAGCGCUCUCGCACUCUCUCGCCCACUUCUCUACCUGACUGGCACCUGUUGCCACCCACCCCGGCCCCGGCACUCCCGAGGCUGGGGCCUCAGGCACCCCGGCUCGGACCACUACAUAGCCUGUCUGUCAUACAGGCCUGGCAUCUACAGGCAUCUACAGGUCUGCGGCACCUGCCGGCCUUGAAUCAUCAACCCAAAUCCAUCCGUGGCAACUAACAAAUGGCAGCUUCCAUCCCGCUGGGCCCAAUCAAGCCCCAUGCCAAACGGAGCACACACGUGCGGAAACUAUACCAUGCACACACACGCGUGUAUGCCCCCUUCAUCGCUCUCCUAGCACGGCGUUGCAAGACACUCACGGCCACUCCCGCGGGCGGUCAGCCUCGCGCUCUCAUCGCUCCACUCCUAGUAAGCACCCACUCCAGCGCACUCCUGGCCACUCCUCCCUGGCCACUCCCCCCUGGCCACUCCUCUCCUACUCCUUCUUUGGCGAAGCGGGCGGCGACUUGGGCUUGUACUCGCGCGCUCCAAAAAUUGUGGAUCCCACCCGGAUGUUGGUGGAGCCCAUCUCAAUCUGUCACAUGGGGAGGGGCGUGGGAGUGGGGCGUGGCGGUGGAGCAAGGGGAGAGGAAAGGCUGGGGGCAGGGAGAGGAGGACGAGCCCUGAAGAGCCGCAAAAUUUGAGGCUGGAUUGGGCAGGAGGCAGGGAUUCCCUUGGCAGGGGUUCCCUUGGCAGGAGGUGCCAAGGAGAGGCGUCCGCUGCCCCCUGCCCCUGCCCCUGUCCACCACCAUCCCUCCUGCCUCUCGUCCCUCUCCUCCCUCUCCUCUCGCUCUCCUCCCUGUCCUCCCUCUCCUCGCUCCUCACCGCCUGCUCGAAGUCGCCGCUCAUGCCCAUGCUCAGCUCCAGCUGCUCGGGCCGCAGACCCAGCUCGGUCGCCACGGCGUCGCGGCAGCCCGACAGGCAGAUGAAGCACUCGGGCCGUGAGGAGUAGUCGGGCAUGCCUGUUGCGUGUGUGCGUGUGUGCGUGUGUGUGUGGAGGGGGGGGGGUUGCAAGGAUGUUUGGAAAAGCGGUACAGGGGGGGUUGCAAAUACCAGCCCAAACUGAACCAAGCCGUGUGUGUGUGUUAUAUAUGUGUUACUGCUCCCGGUAAGAAGCGGGGUCUGCAGGUGCAGCCAGUCAGGGGGCCUGGGAAGGGGGCCCCGGGAGCAAGCUGCUCCCAGACAACCCCCACGGUGUUGCCCAGCCCCCAGCCCCCAGCCCCCCCCUCCCUCCCACGAUGUUCCCCAGCCCGCAGCCCCGCCUCAAGCCACGCCCCCAGUGCAGCCUCGGUCCCCACAGCCCCCCAUUUGCCAAAGCAUUGGCCACGCUCUCCUCCUCGCUCUUUCGCAUCGGAUUCGGUUUAGUUUGGGCUGGCAUCUACACCCCGAUCCCCCCAGGGGUCUCCCCAGUGCCGCCUGCCGCCUGCGCCGCUCUCACCGAUGGUCAUCAGCCCCGCUAGUCGGAGCUUGGGGCAGUUCUGUGGGGAGGUUGGCGAUAGGGCAGGGGAGAGAGAAGGGUUGGGACACUGGGCAGGUGCUGAGUUUUGAUAUCAGGUGAUUUGGUCUCGCCCCCCCCUGCACUUCCAUUCCGCCGUUUCGCCCACACCCCGCCCUCACCGCCCUCCUUCUGUUUCCUAUGCCCCCUCACACGCCACCUGCCCCCUAACGCCGCCGCACACCAGGUGCGCAACCCCCUCCCCCGCGCGCACCCACCUGCGCUAUGUGUUUGGCCAGCGACACGCACUCGGUCGGCUCCACACCGUACUUGGACUCCUCGCCACUGGUGUUGACCUGGGGGGAGAUUGGGGGGGGGGACAUUGGGGAGGGGGGAGAAAUGGGGAAUGGGAGGGAACACAUAUAAGAGUAUUUAAGAGGUGAAGGCGUAGCCAGGAGCAGUACCGCAGUAUAGCAGGCGCGUUGGGGAGGGGAGAUUGGGGAGGGCGGGGAUUGGGGAGGGCAGGCGGGCGGUUUCCGGGUGGGUGGGCGGUGGGGUGGGGAGGGUGGAUGGGGCUGUCCCAGAAAUGCACAGGGGGGGGCCAGGCACACGGCGCAAACGCGGCGCAAGCUCACUCCACGUCACGCCAGGCAUGACUGAAAACCCGUAUAUUACUAUACUUAACUACAGCAUCUGACUGGAAGCCAAACUUCCAUUCUUUCGCACAAACCCAAAGCCCCGAGGCCCCGGGGGGCGCCUCACCUGCACCAUGACGGCCAGCGGGGCGGUGCGGCCGCUGACCGUCUCGAGCGUCUUGUUCAGCUUGUCGGCGAGCUGCGCGAGUGGGGUGGGUCCGUGCGAGCGCUGUUUCUUUGCCUUGCCGGUGACAGGGAGAUGUACCGUACACGGCACCGGCGACGAGGCACACACAGACACGCACACGCGCGCACAUACACACACACACACAGACACAGACAACCCCCCUACACACACACACACACACACACAGACACAGACAACCCCCCUACACACACACACACACACACACACACACACACACCUUGGCCGAGUCCACCGUCUCCACCAUCGCUAGGUUGGGCACACCCUCUGCAUUGGGUGUGGGUGCGAUGUGGGUGUGAGCGUACUGGUGUUGGUGAGGUUGAGGUCAGCGGGUGGCGUGGGGAUUGGGGUGAGAGAGCUCACGGCUGCUGCGCCCCCAAGUCUAUCGCUAAUAUGCCCAUCACCCACUGAAUGAAUCACACGCCCACAUGCUCAUCGCCGCAUCGGCCCUUCCACCAAAUGAAUGCCGGCAGCCCGGCACCGUCUCCUCUGCGCCCCGCCAGCAUAUACACGCACCCCCCCACACACACACACAAACCCACUGCCCAAUCCUCUCCCUCCCCCACUCCCCACCACCCGCUCCCUACGCCUCCCAUGACCCACCCAGCACGGCCUUGACCUUGUUGGACUGCAGGUGGCCGAUGAAGUGCCACUGCACGUCGCCCGGCAGCGCCGGCGCCUUGUCCAGCAUCUCCUGUGUGGGAGCGGGAAGGAGGCGGGGGAGAGAGGGGGAACGGGGGUGGCGGUUAGGGAAGGAGUUGGCGGUUGGUGGCCUUGUGUGUUAGUGGGCAGGAGACGUGCCGGUGUGUGUGCGGUUGUACGGCAUGACGGCGGCCUCUGCAGCCACCUAGUGGCGGGCGGAGUCACCUGCACUCACUCAUCGGCACGCAUACACACACGCACACUGCUAUUCUUGUGGUUACCCAGCACACAUCCCUUCCGCGCGUGUGUGGGGUUCAACCCAUACCCCUGCCGAAGCCGCAACCCCAGAGCAAGCCCCAGAGCCGCUUGGCCCCCACAGCCCCGUUGUGCCCGCAGUCCCCACAGCACCCCAGCACCCCCCUCCCCGCCCCACAACCACCAUGCUUGUUAGCCCCACACCGCCACGCAGCGCGCCUGCACGUAGUUAGCCCCCCACCGCCACGCAACGCGCCUGCACGUAGUUCUCGCCGAACACGCGCUGCCCGGCGUCGUACGCCUCCUGCAGCGCCUCCGCGGGCUUGGUCUUGCUCACCGCCACCAGCCGAACCUGGAGCAGGUAGGAGGGGGUUCAAUGACAGGGCCACCGACGCCGAUGAUUUGAUUGCUUGUCACGUACACGGUUGUAUUGUGGAAAAACAUGGAGGCGGCCGCAUGAGAAUGACAGCUUGCGCCAAACCCAGUCGAUUCUGCACUCACCGGGUGGGUCCGGUUUGCACGCUCCGUCGCCUGCUUCAUCCUAGAGAGCACAUCUUGUAAUGCGGCUGCAAUGGGCUUGUCCGCCAUUGUGCUUGCACUACGUGCAAAGACUUGCACCCCGACCCUUCGCGAGCAAGAGGAAAAUAGAAGCGCCGUGGCCAUGCGAGGACUGCUUGCAAUUAGGUUGAUAUGUUGCGUGCUCAAUCAAGUAAGUUGCAGCACGAAAUGAGUUGCCAGGCUUUUAGAAUGCAAGUGUAUGCAUGGGCGCUGCACCGCCCUGGGUUGUCUUGGCAUGACACAGACCCAAUUCAUUGCGAGGAAAUGUUGCUUGCUGCUAUGAAAUGACGCACGCAUUGUUGUCAAUGUAACAACGAAAGACCACUGCACUUCGUGUGAAUGCGCGCUCGCUCCUUGGCAAAGCAAUUGCGCCAUCCGCUUUCAGCAGCAAUCGUGAGCUAUCCAUCGUUUCUAGGCUUUGCGCCACAGCGCGGUGCGUGCGUGGCGUCGCGCGGCGGUCUCGCGCCUCGCCAAACUUCAGCCGGCGGCACCUGUGGUGUCGCUGGCGCCCGGGAGGUUGCUUCCGCCGUGGCGACAUCGCCAGCCCUUUCCCUCGCGAGCCCACUGCGUGCCUCGCUCUUCAGCAGCUGCAGCAGCAGUAGCAGUAACAGUAGCAUGAUUACGACCGCUUGUGCCAGCACAAGCAGCGGUUGCAGUGGCAGUAGCAGCUUCCGGCACUGCAGCGCUACCAGACUGUGUGCAAUGCCCGGGGCCGGCACCAGUGCGGCAGCGGCGCCGGCCGCGAUGAGGGCUGUAGCAGCAACCAGCCCACUGCUACUGCCGCUGUCACGACUACCGCACAUGGCAGCUCGCCGCCACCGCGGCUCGUGCGGCUUCGGGGGAGGGACAGCAUCAGCAGCAGUAGCUGCGGCACGCCGUUCCCUGGCAACGGCAGUAGCAGCGCAGGCAGGGACAGGGGCAGGCUGGGUCGUGACAACCGCAGUAGCAACAGCAGCAUUCCCCUCGACAUCCUUGCGCACAUCAGCAUCCCCAGCUACAGCUGCAUCUACAGCAGCAGCUACAGCCGCCGCCGCCACUGGCUGUAGCGCCCGGCGGCUGCACACGGCGGCGCUGCGGCCGGGGCGGUGUGUGGCUGUAGCUGCCUCGCCCGCGUCAGCGGAUGCCGGCGGGGCUGCCACCGCGUCCUCACCUGCGGCGGUGGAGGUGGAGGGCCUGGGUGGCCUGAAGCGCCGGGUGCGUGUCAUGACAACAACAGCAUUCAUGUCGGCUGUGCGAUGCUGUCUGUGCCUCUGGGGCCCAAGCCACACCAACUUACGUCCCUGGCUCAGUGGUGAUUCCUCACUCACCUACCUCUCAUCCUCCUCCUCAGCUCCACACAGCUCUUCUUUCCUUCAUGCCUGUAUCCUCUUCUUGUCAUCCUCUUCCUCUGCACUUGUGCCUGCCCUCACCCGCCCCCUCCCCCCACCCCCCCCCCACCCCCAACACACACACACACACACACACACACACACACACACACACACACACACACACACACACACACACACACACGUGCAGGUGGCGGAGGCGCAGGCGCGCCUGUCCGAGGCGCGGGCGGUGGCGGACCUGCCCGGCUGCCGCGCCCGACUGGCGGCGCUGGAGCACGACGUGGCGGCGGCGGGCGAGGCGCUGUGGGCGCAGCCGGCGCGCGCACAGGCGCUCAUGAGCCAGAUCAACGUGCUGAGGUGGGGGAGGGGGGCUGGGGGGGGGGGUGGCGCUGGGCGCGUGGGUUGACACAACCAAACCGGGAAGCGCCGCGGGGUCCUCACUACUAAGCUGCCGCUUACAUGUGUAGGUUGUCAUGCGUGCACGCGCGCACGCGUGUGUGUGUGUGUGUGUGUGUGUGUGUUUGUUUGUUUGUUUGUGUAUGUGUGUGUGUGUUUGUUUGUUUGUUUGUUUGUGUGUGUGUGUGUGUGUGUGUGUGCGUGUGUGUGUGUGUUAAACAAAGAAUCAAACGGAACAAAAUUCCGCCAUACACGCGCGCGCAGUUACCAACAAAUACCGAUGCCGGUUACCGAGCUCCGCGUUUGUCGAUGUUGCCCCAGUUGUCACCUUGAGUAUACUCACCCGCAUACGUUGCCUGGAACCCCCUACCCGGGCGUUUGGCAUUCAGCCUCGUCUCCGAGGUGCGCCCGCAUGCGCUGCCAUGCUCCGCGUCGGCGACGCGCUACAACGUUUACCGGGCACGCCUAAUCCCCGACGUCUCGUCCACAGUCCAUAGCCAUUCUUACCUAUAAGCGAGAGAGAGAAGUAAAAGCAUAGGGCGGCAGCACAGAAGUGUCACGGGCAUGCAAAAUGGCAACGGUGAAGAGGGGCGGCGUGCAACAGGCAUGCUACCUAGCGACCUAACACACAUCCCACUAACUAUACGAAUGCCCGGAAAAAGGGGGGCGAGUCAGAGGCAACGAAGAAAUAAAUAUCGCUAGGCUGCAUAGGCGUCCGUGGCGGGCGGCGGUUAUGGAGCCGGGUAUGUAGCUAAUCAUGUGUGUGUGUGUGUGUGUGUGUGUGUGUGUGUGUGUGUGUGUGUGUGUGUGUGUGUGUGUGUGUGUGUGUGUGUGUGUGUGUGUGUGUGUGUGUGUGUGUGUGUGUGUGUGUGUGUGUGUGUGUGUGUGUGUGUGUGUGUGUGUGUGUGUGUGUGUGUGUGUGUGUGUGUGUGUGUGUGUGUGUGUAUGUAUGCGUGUGUCUGUUUGUUGGGGACUCGGUGGAAGGCGAUGGAAGGGCGCGGCGUGUGGCAGGACACACGUCCGCGUCCACUCAUUCACUCGCACACACACACGCAAGCUAACCCCAUGUGACACGUGACGUGUGACUUCAUGGCCCAGGUCGGAGAUUGGCGAGCUGGAGCGGUUCAGUGGCUGGGCGGAGGAGGCGGCGUUUGCGCUGGAGCUGCUUGAAGCCGAGGUUGGUGGGUUUGGUUUAAAGGGCAACCAAUACGUAUGUGCGUGGAUUAGACGCAGGAUUUUCUGUGACGGGUGCGUGACGGGUGCAUAUCUGCCACACGACAUUUGUCAGUCACCGCCUCGCCAUAAAACCCACACAGGGCGGCGGCGGCGGCUCCGGGGGCGCUGGCGGCGGUCUGGGCGGGGAGGCGGCGGGCAUUGCGGUGGAGGCCCUGGCGGCGCUACGGCAGCUGGCGGCGGGACUGGACAGGUGCGCGCGUGAAUGUGUAUGUGUGUGUGUGGGGGGGGGUGCGUGUAUGUGUGUGUGUUGCGUUUAUUGACCUCCCCUCAAGACAUGCACAUUCACGAAUGAUCCCUGCGCUCCUCGAUUACACACAUAUCACACAAAUCCACCCAAUCAUGCAUGCCACUCCACCCCCACACGGCUCCACCCCCCCCACACACACACCCCUCACAGCUGGGAGCUGCGGCGGCUGCUGUGCGGCCCCUACGACGACCGCGGGGCGCGCCUCACCAUCAGCGCGGGCGCGGGCGGGGUGGACGCCAUGGACUGGGCGGAGAUGCUGGAGCGCAUGUACAUGAGGUGCGUGUGUGGUGUGUGUGUGUGUGUGUGUGUGUGUGUGUGUGUGUGUGUGUGUGUGUGUGUGUGUGUGUGUGUGUGUGUGUGUGUCGGGGAGUUGCGAGGAUGUUUGGAAAAGCCGUACAGGAUGUUUUUUGGGGGGCUUGUAGAUACCAGCCGAAACUAAACCGACCCCAAUUCAAAAGAGCGAGGAGCAGAGCGUGGCCGAUGCCUUGACAACGGAGCGGCACUCAAUUCGGGGCUGGAUAAGGUUCUGCCACCAUUUCCAUUUCCAUUUCCAUUAGAGGUAUGCCCAUGCUCCUAGAAGGGCGCCAGCCGCAGGCUUUCCCCACAUCGAACCGCCGCCGCCCCCUUCCCCCUCCUCCUUCGUGUUCUGCUGUUCAGGUGGGCUGAGGCGGGCGGCUACCAGGUCGCGGUGCUGGACCGGGCGGCGGGCGACGAGGCGGGCGUCAAGAGCGUGGAGCUGGAGGUGGGAGGGGGCUAGGGGGAGAGGGGGUAGGGGGAAGGGGGGGAGAGGCUGGGGGUGGGAGGGCUGUGGAGAGGGCUGUGGGGGUGGGGGGGGGGGAGAGGGCUGUGGGGGUGGGGGGGGGAUGGGGUUACUAGAAGCAGAUCCCGGCAUGACGGCCACAGAGCGCUGGGCUGCACAGUGAAUGGGUCGGGGGAGGGGGGAAAGGCGGGAGGCUGGGGGGGGGCGGUGAGAUGGGUGGUGGGGAGGUGGCACGGCGGGAGGGGCGAUGGCCUGGGAUCAGGGGGAGUGAGGGCGACGGCCACGAUGCAGCCGGGGGCUGCACGAGUGGGCGAAAGCUCAAGGUCAGGGGGGAGGGUGCGCACUGGGACCCGUCUGAUGCCCCACGGCCCGCGCCCACCCUCCUGCGCGCCCGCCCUCCCGCACGCCAUCCAGCUCCAGAACAACUCUGUCCAUGUCCCUCCUCCCUCCUGGGGAUCUUGGGGCCAGUAAUGGUCUUAUGGUCUAUUUUGGGUUUUGGAAUGAACUACCCUCCCACUCCCUCUCUCUCCCCGCAGAUCACGGGCGGGCGUCACGCCUACGGCUACCUGCGCUGCGAGAAGGGCACCCACCGGCUGGUGCGCAACAGCCCCUUCAACGCCAAGGGGCUGAGGCAGACCAGCUUCGCGGGUGAGGGCAGUGAGUGGAGGGAGGGCAGUGGGGGGAGGGGAGGGGAGGGAGGAGUUGAGGGGGAGGGGAGGGAGCGGGGCCUGGCUCCUCGAAGCGAGCCCGCCAACUGCCAACUGCCUGACUGCCGCCGCCUGCCAGGUGUGGACGUGAUGCCGGUGCUGGGUCCCGACGACCUGCCCGAACUGGAUCUCAAUGAGAAGGACCUGGAGGUGUGUGUGUGUGUGUGUGUGUGUGUGUGUGUGUGUGUGUGUGUGUGUGUGUGUGUGUGUGUGUGUGUGUGUAGCCCAGACUCAAGGGGGAACGGGGGGCGGGGACGUGUGUGUUUUGGGUGGUGGGGCGUGUGUGUGUGAGGCGACACGUCUUCUUGGGUUGUCACAACCUCCGAUGGUGUCACCCCCAUGCGCCCGGUCCCACCACCCACCCAGCCUUGGCCCCACAAGCGCCACCACCACCCCAACCUCACCUGACUCUCGCCGCCACGCAACACCAGUGCAUCCUGUACCGCUUUCCCAAACAUCCUUGCAACCCCCAACCCCACGCCCCAACCCCCCAACCACUCGCCUUGCUGCCUCCUGAUUUCCCUGCUGAUAUCCUGUUUAACCUUGUAACCCUCAAACAACAACGAUUCCCAGAUCACGACAAUGCGCUCGGGCGGCAAGGGAGGACAGAACGUGAACAAGGUGGAAACAGGUGCGGGCGCGGACAGGCAGGCGUGACGGGGGUGGGCAGUAAUCAUCGGGGUGUGUGGAGUGAUCAUCAAAGUGGUUUUCAGGAUAGCUGUGCGCCCCUUGUCUGCCACGACCUCUUACCUCUGUGGCCCUUCGUUGAUACCGGUAUGAUGAGUGCAAGUGCAUUGAGAUGAAGGUGAAGUCAACCCCCCCCCCCAACACCACACCUGCUGUCUACUUCGCUACACUUCUCUGUACCAAUCCUUGCAACACCCCCCCCAUUUUGGGCUUGUAUUUACAACCACCCCCCACCAUUGGGUUCGGUUUAAUUUGGGCUGGCACACACCGCGUCACUCCUCGCCACUCCCUCCGCCGCCCCGCCCGCAGGCGUGCGCAUCCUGCACGUGCCCACCGGUCUGGCCGUCAAGUGCACCCAGGAGCGGUCGCAGGCGCAGAACAAGGCCAUUGCCCUGGACCUGCUCAAGGUGGGCGUGGGCGGUUGUGUGGGUGUAUGGGCGCGUGUGUGCACGUGUGUGCACCGCAUGUGCGUGUGCGCGCCUGUGUGUAUGUAUGUGUGUAUGAAGUUGUGUGGGGGGCGUGCGGAGGGGGCGUAGUUAUAAUCCAGCCAAGUAGGUUGGUGGAAGGUGUGCGCACGUACCGGAUGUAGGCCUUUACACCGCCCAAUGUCCUGUGGCCAUCACCUCUUUCGGCCCCUCGUUCGCCCGCCCCUUCGCCCCUCCCUUCCCCGCCCCCCGCCCCGCCGCCCCCCGCCUGCAGGCUCGGCUGCUGGUGGUGCUUCAGGAGCAGAACGCCAAACGGGUUGCGGAGAUCCGCGGCGACCUGGUGAAGGCGGAGUGGGGGCAGCAGAUCCGCAACUACGGUACGAGCGGCAGUAGCAGCAGCAGCAGCAGCAGCAGCAGGGCAAGGGGGAGUGGGAAGGGGAAGGCGGGCGGGGGGGCAGGGGGGGGGCAGGCAGGGGGGGGGCAGGCUGGUGGCAGGCAAACAGCCGUGAGCCGCCAAUGGAAGAAGCGGGGAGCCGGAUGGGAGCUGUCGCAGAUUGUAACACCCACGCACACCGUGUGCAGGGCUGCUGUGGUGAGGCUGCUGUCCUUGCGGCCCCACGGCCCCCACGCACCCCUCACGCACCAACACCCCACCCCUCCCCCGCCCCCACCUGCAGUGUUCCACCCGUACAAGUUGGUGAAGGACACGCGCACGGGGACGGAGACGUCGGACGUGCAGGUGCUGGGGGGAGGGAGGGGCGGGUAGUUUGGUUACCCCAACAAAUCUAAACCAAGACCCAGCCAGCCCACAGAGCACAGGGGGCCAUGUGACUACCAGCUCCAACCCCAUCCAUGCCGCUUUCCCGCCCACUCCCUGCCUUCCUAGCACACACACGCACACGCACACACACACACACACACACACACACAUACAUGGGCGGGCUUCGUUUUGUUGUUUUUUUCAACACACACCUUCUGCUCCCGCACUCACACCCGCACUCACACCCGCACUCCCUCCCCCCCCUUUUCGCCCCCUCGCCCCCUCGCCCCCCCCCCUGGCCCCCAGGCUGUCAUGGACGGCGAGCUGGGCGGCUUCAUGGCGGCGGUGCUGCGGCAGCGCGGCCGACAGGCGGUGGGCGACAGCCUGGCGGCAGAGCCCUAGGGAGGGCGGUGGGCGACAGCCUGGCAGCAGAGCCCUAAGGAGGGCGGUGGGCGACAGCCUGGAGGCAGAGCCCUAGGGAGGGCGGUGGGCGACAGCCUGGAGGCAGAGCCCUAGGGAGAGCCUGGAGGCAGAGCCCUAGGGAGGGCCAGUGGGAGGGCUGUAGAGGGCUAGCAGGCCUAGAGGCCGUAGGGGCCACAGGCAGCACCGCCCUAAAGGCCAGGCUCUCGCCCACACUCUCUGCACAGAGUGCGUGAGAGUCGGGUCGGCACAAGCCUGGGACUACCGUAAAGCAGCUCUGGCGAGUGGGCGCCCCGGGCAGCAGCGCAGCACGGCAGCAGGGCAGCAGCGCAGCAGGGCAGCAGGGGCGCAGUGCGCCAGGGGCCCGGGGCUGUGGGCGCGGGGGGCAGUGCCUGCUUGUGUUCCUCAUGAGAAGUGGCGAGUGAGUGGUCAUGCUCGGGAUUCAGGAAGGCUAGGUAGCUGUCGGGGGUGCUGCUGUCAGCUGUAACUGGGAUGGGGCGUGGUGGUGGCACCCAAUCCCGUGGUGGCGCCGCGGUGGGCUGGCGGGCUUCGGGGCUUGGUAGGUGGUCCCUUCAUCCCUUGCCGCCGUGUUGCCUGGGUGUAUGUUGGUGUGCGAUGGGACAGGGUUAAGGCAGGUUGGUGAAGUCCCGUAGGCUGCAGCUGAUUCCCAGACCCCAACAGAUGGCAAACAAUUGAGUGUAGGUCGGUGAGGAGUGCCGCAUGCACGUCGCGGUCGUGUGCUAGGUAGCAGAGAAGUAGCAGCAGGGGAUGACCGUGUACAAGAAGGCACUGUGAAAGAGCAGAACCAGCUUGUGCAUCACGGCAGUCGCGCGUCGCGCGAUUGCGCGCCGCGGCCUUCCGGCGGUCUGGCGGUCUGUGGCGGAGUUGUGCUGCGGCGCGUCCGGGUGGCUUCUGUUUUUAAGGCGUUCAGAGUCCGCAGUACGCAUCGUUGCACCCACCCUUUCGUGUUCCGUAUCAGGCAACCAGACAUUCACAUCGUGUCCGUGUCAGCAGCUACUAAAGGGAAAGCAGAUCAGACGCAAGAGUUCGCAACCCGCUCCGAUCAUCCAGUGUGCUCCGUUGCCUCCCGUCCGGUCCGGUGUCAUUGUUUCCGCGCCGCCGCGAGUUUCGCACUCCGACACACUCCAGACUGUUUCCCACACCGCAGUGCCUACCAGCACGUAUGACGCAGUCCACCAGCACGUAUGACGCAGUCCACCAGCACGUAUGACGCAGUCCACCAGCACGUAUGACGCAGUCCACCACACGCGCCACUCGGGUUCCUGCCCCCACCCCCACCGCCCCCGCUUCCCGGUCCCUGAACAGCUCACGAGGUCGAGAGGUCCCCUCGUCAGCCAGCCGCGCCUGCAGGCCGCUCCCCCGCAACAACUCCUACAACGCAGAUACACACACACACACACACACACACACACACAAGCACACACACACAGACACAUUUGCUGCAUCGCAUACACUGUCUUUGCGCAAUGUUUUCCUUGUGCUCUUUAACACAAGCACACACACACGCUCGAUCCCUGGCGACCGUGCCCCUGGACCUGUUCCACCGCGCAAACCCCCCCCGGCGGCGCUACUGCCGACACGCGGGCGGGGCCAGGGCCGGGCCCAGGGGCGGACUCAGGGGUUAACACGUCACCGCCGCCGCUGCGCCGACACGGCCCGCCGCUGCCCCAUCGCUGCCGCCGCCGCACCCCUCAUCCCAGGCGACAUGCCGCCCGCGUACUCCCCCGCCGCGCCGCCCCCGCCCCCGCCCGCGCCCCCGCCACCUCGGCCGUACGCCCCUGCUGCACCGGCCGCGGCGCCGGCACGCGCCCACGGCGGAGCCGGGCUGCCGCCUCCUCCUCCUCCGCCUCCCCCGCCUGCGCCUCCCCCGCCGCCUCCUCCGGCGCCGCCUCCGGCGUAGGGUGCGGCGUACUGCUGCAGGGGCGGGGGCGGCGAGGCCGAGUGCGGUGCCAUCCAUAUCAGGCCCUUGUCGUCCUUCUGCAUGGGGGGAGGGGGCAGAGGGUGGAGGGGAAGGGGGGAGCAGUGAAUAUGAUGAUGGGGCAGGGGGGGAGGGGAGCAAGAAUGAGGCGCCAGGGGUGAAGCAAGCGCGCAGCAGGGCUGGCUCAGGUCUUCAGGGCAGUAGGACACGGGGGUAUUGUGCCCGCAGUGGUCUCCUUGCCGUCUCCCCAGCCACCAGCAUCCACCCCUCCCCGCCGCACGUGUCCAACCCCUGUGUGCCCCUNNNNNNNNNNNNNNNNNNNNNNNNNNNNNNNNNNNNNNNNNNNNNNNNNNNNNNNNNNNNNNNNNNNNNNNNNNNNNNNNNNNNNNNNNNNNNNNNNNNNCACCUUGUCCCAGGGCGCCUCCACCUCGUGCCGCCCCCGCUCAGCCCGCCGCACCACCCGCCACUGGAACACAGCCCGGUCCUUGCCGCCCACAGACACCUGCGGGGGGGGGGGCAGCCGUUCAUUGAGUAUCAAGAAUGUAAACGUCGACGCCCAGGGGGGAAGGUAGCCGUCAUGUGAAGAACGGAGGGCAUAUAUCACCAGUAUUGCGGGCGGAGAGGCGCAGGGGGGGGGGGCAGGUGAGAGUGAGCGUGAAAGGGACAGAGGUCGGGGAGGGGGAAUGCGACAUGGGGGUUAGAAGCGUGCAGGUGUGGAGCGGGUCCUUCCCUCUCUGACCUCCCUCCCCGACUCCUUCCCCCCUCCCCUCCCUCUCACCGCGUAGCUCUCGUCCGCCGCCCAGCGCACGUUCAUCACGUGGCUGCAGUGCCCGCCGUACACGUGCGCGGGGGCGCCCGCCACCACACAGGGGAAGUGGAGCAGCCGCACGUGGCCGUGGUCGUCGGCAGUCAGAACGUAGCGGCCUAGGGGGAGGGGGGUUUGGCAGGGCGGGAGAGGGUAAUUGAAUUGGAAUCGGAAUUGGAAGGAGGGGGCGUUGUGUUAAUUAUGGGGCGUUGCCGACGAGAGCUGGGUAUGGGAAAGCAAAGGGAGAGCCCCGUGCGGUGUGCAUUAGCGGGGCAGGGGGCAGGUGCAUAAGUGGGAGGGAGGCAGGGAGGGAGGGGUGUGCUCGAGCCCACUGGAGCGAGGGGUGGGGGUGGGUUGUAAAUACCAGCCCAAACUAAACCAAACCAACGAAAACGAGCGGAGCACAGGCAGAGGCGUGAGUUGCAAGCGAUAAUACUUAAGGGAUGGGGGCCGAGGCGUCGUGGAGCAGCAGGGCGAGCGGCGCCGGCGAUAAAUGUCGCCGCCCGGGCUCGGUGGCGCGCACAACAGCACAGGACAGGCACGCGGACGCGACAAGCAAAACCCACGACUUACCUGGCGACCACCCACCCACCCACCCCUCACCCCCUCGUUUUCGUUGGUUUUGGUUUAGUUUCGGCUGGUAUUUACAACCCCUCCCUCACCCACCCACCCCACCCCUCACCCCACCCCCAACCCCCUCACCCACUCCCUCACCCACCCACCCACCCUCACCCACCCACCCCACCUACCCACCCCACCCCCACCCCCUUCACCCACUCCCUCACCCACCCACCCACCCUCAUCCAUACCACACCCUCCGCCACCCCCCAACCCCCUCACCCACCCGCCCCCUCCCCUCAGCCGCCCACCCACCCGAGGGCGAUGCAUGCACGGAGUUGAUGUCAGUGCCGUCACUGUCGGGGAACCAAAUGCCCAUGACCGGAAACCCCUGUGUGUGUGUGGGGGGGNNNNNNNNNNNNNNNNNNNNNNNNNNNNNNNNNNNNNNNNNNNNNNNNNNNNNNNNNNNNNNNNNNNNNNNNNNNNNNNNNNNNNNNNNNNNNNNNNNNNNNNNNNNNNNNNNNNNNNNNNNNNNNNNNNNNNNNNNNNNNNNNNNNNNNNNNNNNNNNNNNNNNNNNNNNNNNNNNNNNNNNNNNNNNNNNNNNNNNNNNNNNNNNNNNNNNNNNNNNNNNNNNNNNNNNNNNNNNNNNNNNNNNNNNNNNNNNNNNNNNNNNNNNNNNNNNNNNNNNNNNNNNNNNNNNNNNNNNNNNNNNNNNNNNNNNNNNNNNNNNNNNNNNNNNNNNNNNNNNNNNNNNNNNNNNNNNNNNNNNNNNNNNNNNNNNNNNNNNNNNNNNNNNNNNNNNNNNNNNNNNNNNNNNNNNNNNNNNNNNNNNNNNNNNNNNNNNNNNNNNNNNNNNNNNNNNNNNNNNNNNNNNNNNNNNNNNNNNNNNNNNNNNNNNNNNNNNNNNNNNNNNNNNNNNNNNNNNNNNNNNNNNNNNNNNNNNNNNNNNNNNNNNNNNNNNNNNNNNNNNNNNNNNNNNNNNNNNNNNNNNNNNNNNNNNNNNNNNNNNNNNNNNNNNNNNNNNNNNNNNNNNNNNNNNNNNNNNNNNNNNNNNNNNNNNNNNNNNNNNNNNNNNNNNNNNNNNNNNNNNNNNNNNNNNNNNNNNNNNNNNNNNNNNNNNNNNNNNNNNNNNNNNNNNNNNNNNNNNNNNNNNNNNNNNNNNNNNNNNNNNNNNNNNNNNNNNNNNNNNNNNNNNNNNNNNNNNNNNNNNNNNNNNNNNNNNNNNNNNNNNNNNNNNNNNNNNNNNNNNNNNNNNNNNNNNNNNNNNNNNNNNNNNNNNNNNNNNNNNNNNNNNNNNNNNNNNNNNNNNNNNNNNNNNNNNNNNNNNNNNNNNNNNNNNNNNNNNNNNNNNNNNNNNNNNNNNNNNNNNNNNNNNNNNNNNNNNNNNNNNNNNNNNNNNNNNNNNNNNNNNNNNNNNNNNNNNNNNNNNNNNNNNNNNNNNNNNNNNNNNNNNNNNNNNNNNNNNNNNNNNNNNNNNNNNNNNNNNNNNNNNNNNNNNNNNNNNNNNNNNNNNNNNNNNNNNNNNNNNNNNNNNNNNNNNNNNNNNNNNNNNNNNNNNNNNNNNNNNNNNNNNNNNNNNNNNNNNNNNNNNNNNNNNNNNNNNNNNNNNNNNNNNNNNNNNNNNNNNNNNNNNNNNNNNNNNNNNNNNNNNNNNNNNNNNNNNNNNNNNNNNNNNNNNNNNNNNNNNNNNNNNNNNNNNNNNNNNNNNNNNNNNNNNNNNNNNNNNNNNNNNNNNNNNNNNNNNNNNNNNNNNNNNNNNNNNNNNNNNNNNNNNNNNNNNNNNNNNNNNNNNNNNNNNNNNNNNNNNNNNNNNNNNNNNNNNNNNNNNNNNNNNNNNNNNNNNNNNNNNNNNNNNNNNNNNNNNNNNNNNNNNNNNNNNNNNNNCAGGGCGGGGGGGGGGGCUAAAAUAUGAUUAAGAAAGAAUUGAAGGUGCGGUUGGGUUUGUAGAUACCAGAUUACCAGCCCAAACUAAACCAAACCGGGGGCAUGGGUAACUUGUUGCACAACCCCGUCCUCCGUCCUCCUGUUGGCGCCCCAACCUCCGGCUUUUUGGGCGAGGCGACGAUUCCUUGGCCAUUGGGACCUGCCCCGAUGGGCUUGACCUUCCUCCCCCCUCCCUCCCACCCCGCCCACCUUGCGUGUGGCCGAGCUCCACACGGUGACGCAGUCGCUGUCGCAGCAGGUGGCGUACACGUGCGGGAAGGCGGGGUUGGUGGCCAGGCCGUACAGGUCGGCCUGGGGGGAGAGGGAGAGAGGAGGGAGGGGAGAGGGGGGGGGCGUGUGUGUGUAUGUGUGUGUAGGGCGGGGGAGGCGGCGCGGCAAACGGCAGACGCAGCUGCAAAGCGAGUUUCCACGUCACGUCAUUCCUCCGGUACUGCCAGCUGCCGAGUGGGCUAGCUUUAGCGCCCAUAUGCUUGGCGGCCCGGUCACACACCACCCUCCACACUACUGACUCACUCACACCCACCGACCUCCCCCCUUUCAUACUUGCGAUUUUAUCACUCCGUUCUCUACAUGAAGGGCCACCGCCCCAUUCCCCCAACCCCACCCUACCUGUUGCCUGUACACCAGCACCUCAAUCUCCCCCACAACCACUCCUCCCCACGCCACCCACACCUGUUGGCCGUACACUCACAUCGCCCCACCCAACUCCUCAUUUCCCCCCUACCCCUCCUCGGUCUUUUGCGUUGGGUUCGGUUAAGUUUAGGCUGUACUCACACCCCCCCACCUGUUGGCCGUACACCAGCACCUCGGGGUCCUUGUCCACCUCCCACACGUCACAGCUGGCCACGCCUGAGCGGUGGGGGGGGGGGGUUACACUCAUGAUUAAUUAAGAAGUGAAGGCGUAGCCAGGGGGUGGGGAGGGGGUGGGGGAGGAGNNNNNNNNNNNNNNNNNNNNNNNNNNNNNNNNNNNNNNNNNNNNNNNNNNNNNNNNNNNNNNNNNNNNNNNNNNNNNNNNNNNNNNNNNNNNNNNNNNNNNNNNNNNNNNNNNNNNNNNNNNNNNNCCACACACACACACACACACACACACACACACACACACACACACACACACACACACACACACACACACACACACACACACACACACACACACACACACACACACACAUACACAAACACACAGAGACGCGGCAACAUAACGCUCGGUCAUUGGUAGGUAUCCGCAAAUAACUCCGGCGAUUUUGUUGCUUUAACCAAGACACACCCACAGCCAGAGCCCUACCCGCCACGAACAUCUCGGGUAUGUCGGGGGCGCAGUCCAGGCCGCGAAUGGCGGGCGGCGUGGUGGUGCCCACCUGCGACGGUGGGGAGGUGGGGGUGGGGGUGGCGGUGGGGUUGGUGGUAGCGGUGGUGGUGGCAGCCGUGGUGGUGGCAGCCGUGGUGGUCGUACAUACGGUCAUACAUGAGCGUCCGUCGCUGCUGCUCCCCGACGCCUCGGCCCACAUCCCAUAAGUAUUAUCGCUUGCAACUAACGCCUCUGCCUGUGCUCCGCUAGUUUGGGCUGGUAUUUACAACCCCCUCCGAGCUGGCCGCGGCAGCCCGGACGGCCGCUCAUUCGGCAACGACCUCGUCUGCAGUCUCCAGUGCAUCCUGUACCGCUUUUCCAAACAUCCCUGCAAAGCCCCACCUCCCGUCCGUCGCCACCGCCGCCCUCCUCUGCCCCUUCGCUCCCACACCUGGUCUGGCCGCAGCAGUGGGAAGCGCCGCAGCAGUGGCCCCAGGUCGCCACUGGACACGUCCCACACGUGCACCGCACUGUGUAUGUGUGUGUGUGUGGGGGGGAGAGGGAACAAAGAGGGGCGGGGAGAAGCACGGAGGUAAAAGCAUGGGGGAGGGAGGGCGUGUGUGACGGUUCAUUAGGAUGAAGCUGGGUGGGUGUGUUAUGUGUAAGAAUGGUUGUGUGUAAGCGUUGUGGCCGUGGUUGGGAGGGCGAGGAGAGGAGCAGGAGGAGGCGGGAGGGGGAGGGGGGAGGGGCCAGGGGGUGACCGUGCAUGCCAGGUGUGGAGGUGUCGUGCAAGCAGUACAUUCACGGCCCCUAGCCAGCCGUGCACAGCGGCCGCAACCGCCCCCUCCCGCCAAAGGGAAAGGCUGCUCCCUCGCGCUCUGUGGGCCUUGGUUCAGCUGGAUCUGAACAAAACUAUCCCCCCAUCGAAAAAGUCACCUCCUGCCCACCGCUCCCCCUCCGCCCCUGUCCCAAUCCCCACCCACCCACCCACCCACCCGCCCAGGCCAACCCACCCACCCGUCCGCGCCGCCGCUGAGCAGCACUGCAUCGCUCUGCAGCACCAGCGCCCUCACGCCGCCGUGGCUGGGUUUGCCGUCGGGGCGGCGGGUGGGCGGCCCUGCGCCGUGCGCCUGCGUCUCACGCGACAGCCGCACCCCCUUCCAGGUGCAGAUGCAGCCCGACUCGUUGCCUGGGGGGUUUUGCGCGGUUUGGAUUGGCAACGGGGUUUGGGGGGUUGGGGUGUCGGUACGGUGGUGGGGGUAAGGGCGGCGUUUGGGAGCCCGUGAGGGCCCACCUCGAGUCCCAAAGAGGCGGCAGCAUGCAAGCACUGACGACCGCCCACGUGCGUUUCAUUUUCACCACCCACCCACCCACCCAAACGCACGCACGCACGCACGCACCCACCCACCCACCCACCCACCCAUCCCCGCCCCCACCCACCCACACCCACCCACCCACCCACCCACCCCCACCCCCACCCCACCCCCACGCACGCACCCGUGAGCACGACGCCGCUCCUGAGGAACACGGCGCCCGUGACCGUGUGUGUUUUGCCCAGACUGUACAUGCCCGCCUCGCUGAUGGGGGACAGGGCGGCGGGGUUGCGCGGGUCGGGGCCAAGGCGCCAGAACUUGAUGUGGUUCUGGCCGUACGUCACUAGCCUGUGGGCGUGCGUGUGUGUGGGGUUCCAAACAUGAUGGGGGGACGUGCUCAAUAGGGAAGCAGAAGAUUAUUUGGUCUUGUGCGAUGUGCUUGUAUGUGCAUGUCAAGGCGUGCUCCCAUGGCUCCUUGAGCCACGCUGCCAUUCCCCCUCUGAAGCCAACAUCCCUCCCUCCCUCUCUCCCUCCCUCCCUCCCUCCCUCCCUUCCCCCACUUCGCAUUGGGUUCUGAGUAGUUUGGGCUGGUACCUACAACCCCCCUCCCUUCCCUCCCUCCCUCCCUCCCGCUCACCUGUCCGGCUCGUACUUGCUCCACACCACGCCGUACACGGCCGGCGGCGCGCCCGGCUGGCUCUUGCGCGGCUGGCACAGCGGCCGCGCGCGCGCCCAGUCCCACAGGUGCAGGCAGUGGGAGUUGUCGGUGGCGACGGCGGCCAGGCGGGAGCCGUCGGGCGAGAAGGCCAGGGCCUGAAUGCCGCGGUCGUCUCGGCUGGGGUGAGGUGGGGUGAGUGGGGUGGGUGGGGUGUGGGUGUGGGGUGUGGGGUGUGGGGUGUGGGGGUGGGGUGUGGGUGUGGGGUGGGGGGAGUGGGUGAGGGGUGAGGGGGUGCCGGGGUGGUUGGGUUGUAUGUACCAGAUCAAACUAAACCAAACGAGCGAGGGGCACAGGGAGAUUCUGUGCUCGAGCCCACAGAAGAAGGUGCCAAGAGUCAAGGAAUCUUCGCCCGGGGGAAGGAGUGGGUGGCGUUGCAAAGAUGGUUGGAACAGCGGUACAGGACCUCGUGCGGGGGGAGGUCGGCUGAGUUGGGGCUGGUACUUUAACCCCCCCCCCCCCCCCACACACACACACACACGCCCACCUGAAGGGCAGCCUGGCGAUCUGGCGGCACGUGACGCUGUCCCACACGCACACGCACGGGCUCCUGCGGGCCACAGGGGCAGGGCAGGCAGGCAGGCAGGCAGGCAGAGCUAUCAGGCAGGAAGGCAGGCAGGGCAGCGCAGAGCGGUCAGGCUGUCCGUCCGUCCGUCCGUCCGUCCGUCAGGACAGGUGUGUCAACCGCCCGACCCCAGCAGCGAAAUGGGGCCCAUCCUCCUCACUGGCCGGCAGGCCCCGCCCUCAGCCCCUCGCCCUCCGCCCCGCCCCGCCCCUCCGCCCCACCCUUCAGCCCCCGCCCCUCCGCCCCUUGCCCUCCGCCCUCCGCCCCGCCUCACUUGCCCAGCUGCCCCGUGGCCACAGUGGUGCGGUCGGGGUGUAUGGCGGUGCACAACACGUCGUCGUCGUGGCCCAGGAAGAAGCGCUGUGUGUGUGUGAGGCGGGGCGGGCGGGGGAAGGGGAGGGGAGCGGGAAGGGGGGUUGGGAGGGGGUUGGAGGAGGAGGCGGAGGAGGGGUUGGGGGAGGAAGCGAUCGCAGGGGGGAGGGGGUGUUAUGUUCCCGAGCCCACAUGGCGAUGACACAAACCCAAGAUCCAGCGCAGACAUGCCCACCAUCGUUCCAUCGUACAAUGUUUAUUUCCACUGUCUCGCUAAACACGUGAUUUGCAACAUCGGCACACACCCACACCCACACCCACACACGCUCACCCACCUGCGUGUGCUGCUGCUUGUUGUAGACCACCCCCACGCCCGCCACAUUGUACACCACCUCGCCCGAGGCCGUGUAGAAGAUGUUGGGCGCCGUGGCGAUGUGGCUGCAGCGUGUGUGGUGGCGGUGUGUGUGUGGGGGGGGGGCAGGGACGGUGGAGGAGAGGGUGGGGGGAGGGAUGGUGGUGGCCGUGGUGGUGAUUGUGGCACUCGUGCGAUGACGCAGGCGAGGGCGAGGUGUCCCUUCCCGCCUUGUCUCCGCCUUGUCCCCCGCCCCAGCCGCAUCCACCCUUAUCAGCCCUCAGCCACCCGCCCACUCGCCCACCCACCCUCACCCCCCGCACCCCCUCACCCUCACCCGUCGUAGCCGUGCACGAACUCCAGCGCCAGGCGCACAUCGGGCGGGGUGGCGGAGCGCUCGGCCAGGCGGGGGUCCCAGUUGCUGGGCGGCCACACGCCCUGUGUGUGUGUGGAGGUGCGGGGGGGGGGGGGGUGCGUGACAUCCCCCCUUCCCCUUCGCUCUCCUUGCAAUUUUGCAUUGGGUUCAGUUUACUCCAUUUCUUUUUCGCCAAGCUUUGCAUUGGAUUCUACAACAGGAUUGCCGUGCAGAAGGAUAGCCUAGCUCACGAUGCACUAAUUGAUGAAGUACAAGACGCGUUAGUACACCCAGAGGGAGAUGGGUGGUGUGCACGGCUUUUCCGUUUUAUCUCAGCGCAUGGCGUAGACGUAUGGCAAGGCCGUAUGCACAUGAUCAGGCCGGAAAGGGAGGAGAGCCGAGCAGGUAGCCCGCUGCCUGAAGGGCAAAUAGUAUCCGCCUUUCGAGAGAGUCUAAUGAAGGCGUGGAAGCACGAGCGGCUGCAGUCUGAGCCAAGCACUUUCCCAUCAGACAACAAGCAACCAGGCGUGCAGAUGAGCAAGUACAAGCAUUGGAUGGGGCUGUGUGCGGAAGGAGCGGCACCACUGACCAUGCAAGGGCACAGUAGAGCAUUUAUACCAGUUGCGCACCACAAGGCCUUGAUGAGGUUCCGCCUAUGCUGCUGGCCGCUUACUGCCAACCGCGCCUAUGGACGACCUAGGGAGGAGAGGAUUUGCCCGCUAUGUGUUGCAAAUGAAGUCGAAGAUGAGAAUCAUGUGCUCAUGCGGUGUACGGCCUACGACCAGUUGCGUUUGGGUAGCGAGAUCGAUUUUACAGGCGGAAUGCAGGCCGUCAUGCAGAAUGCGGACCCAGCCAGGUUAGCCGCGUUACUAGAUUCCAUUUGGGAGCACAGGAGCAUAAGCACCCCCAUUCGGGGACCAAACUAGCUGCAUAUAUAAGUGUUGCAGGCGUUAUAAGGGCCCCCCGGCCCGGGCCUAGGUUUCUACAAGGACAGGAAUGCACGUCGUGCUCACCACCUUGUAACCACACACAACAGUUUAGUUUGGGCUGGUAUCUCCACCCCCUCGCCACCCCAUACACGCCACCGCCUCCCCACCUUCUUGCACUCGGGGUACAGUAUCUUGCCGGUGUGUGUGGCGGGCUUGCCGGGCAGGUAUGCGCCCCUCUGCACGCGCCCGCCCUCCGCCGCCGCCAUGUCCAGCCGCGGACCGCCCAUCACCAGCGCGUCCGUGAAGUUCUGUGUGUAUGGGGGGGAGGCAAGUGCGAGUGUGUGUGCGUGUGUGUGUGUGUGUGUGUGUGUGUGUGUGCGUGUGUGAGGCAAGUGCGAGUGUGGGUGUGUGUAGUGGAAGAGCGCAAGGAAAGACAAUGCGCGAGAGGACAGUGUAUGUGAUGCAGAGUUACGGCUGCGGCUUACCGAGGGCGAGGGCGAGUGCGUGUGUGGGUGCGAGUGCUUGUGCGAUUGUGUGAGUGGCCGUGCGUGUGGGUGCGUGAGUGCUGCCUUGGCCCGUGACUGCGCACUAUACACGCCUUCAACCCGCACCGGCACCUGCACCCGCACCUGAUUGCUCUCUCCUUUGCUUCGUGCUUCUGAAGUACGGCAACACACAUCACUUCACACAACCUUACACCGUACACACACAUACGCAUACACACACACAUCACACACAAACACACAAGCACAGUCACACCCACGCGCACCCACGCAUGACUCACCAGUACGGGCAUGAGCCCGCGCGCGUCGCGGCCGUACUUGUCGAAGAAGGCGGCGGUGAGGUCGGGCGGCAGCGCCAGGCCGAAGCGCGACCACACCGUGGCGAACUGGGCCGGGGUCACCUGUGUGUGUGUGAGGGUGUGUGUGUGUGGGGGGUGUAUGGGCGGGCGCAGCACGACACGGGGGGGGGGGAGAGGGGAUGGGGCUUGGGUCACAGGCGGGAGGAAGGUACACCGCCGAACCCACACAUCAACAGUUUCGCCACCCGGAGUACCCGCCCACGUCCCCGAAUACCCCUGUCAUCACCGCCUCCACCCCUCGCCCUCUACCCCUCUAGACCGCCGCCGCUUCCCACCCCUGUGGGACUGGGAUGAGCACCCACACACCCAGCACACUCUCCCCUUGUGCUUGCCUUACACACACACACACACACAAUACACACACACGCACUCGCCUUGUCCCGCGGCCCCAGCUCUGGGUGCCUCUUGCCCAGCUCGGUGGCGAAGGCGCGCAGCAACACGGUGCGCUCCUUGAUGUGCACCUGGAGGGGAGGGGGGGGGAGGGGGUUACAUUUAUGACUAGUCAAGGAAGUGGUAGACGGUAGACCACCGCGGGGGGGGGGGGCGGGGGCAUUAUAUGCAUGAUCAUUUAAGAAGUGAAGGCGCAGGGGCAGGGGGCUGCAAGCAUUGGUACAGGGGGAGGGGGCUGUGUAUCUCAGCCCAAGCGAAUCGAGCCCGAUGCCAUGCAAAAGAGCGAGGAGGAGAGCGUGGCCUGUGCUUUGAUGACGGAGUGACACUCGACAAGGUGGGGGGGGGGCAGGUGGGGGCGGGAGCGUGCGUGCAUGCAUUGGGCAAACCACAGCGAUAGCAUGUUCGGCUCUAGUCGCAUCGCCCCCACCUGCUAUAUCGCAAUAGCGCAACCCCCACCCGUCUCGCGGCGCCCCUCCCCGCUCGCCCCGACACGUCCCCAAUGCCAAGACACGCCCAAGCAGCCGGCCCGCCCGCCUACCGCCCACCGCCUUGCCAGCCAUCCGCAAAUCCCGCCCCGGGCCCCCGGCCCCCUUCCGCCGUCGUGCGUGGACGGCUACUCCCCACCCCCUUCGUUGAGCUUGGGCGUACAACCCCACCCCGAACCCCUCCCCGCCUCACCCACCCCAACCCCCAAAACCUCUCCCCGCCUCACCAGCCCCCAGCUCCCAGCGUCUGGCUUUCCUAGUGGGAGUCAGUAAAACGCCUCCCCCCUCGCCCCCACCACCCCGCCUCACCGCCUCACCGCGUCACCGCCACCCAUCUCUGCCCCCUGAUUGCCCUUCCCCAAAGACUGCCUACCGUCUACCGUUUCCUAAUCAUAACUGCACCCCCCCCCCUCACACGCACACGCACACACCCCCCGUCUACUGUUUCCUUACGGGAUUGGUUCAACAUUAACCCCCCGCCUCACCGCCGCCGCCCGCCUGAGUGUGUCCCGCAUGACCUCCUCCAGCUCCGCCACCUUGGGCAGCAGAGCCACCGUGCUGGGGGCAGGGCCCACGCCGCCCACCACACCUCCACCUCCCCCUCCUCCUGCUGCGCCGCCGCCCGCCACCCGGCCCCGCCCCGGCGGUGCGCUGCUGGGCCGCGCGCCGCGGCCGACUCCGGCGGGAGCGGGCGAGCCGCCUCCUCCCCCUCCGCCCCCGCCUCCGCCGCCGCCACCCCCUGGGCUGUCCACGAUAUGGAACACGCCCGGCCGGAUCUCCACCUGCGUGCGUGCAGGCACCGUGCGUGGUGUGAAAGGGCGUUUUCCAGGGUUGGGAACCAGGUUCUCCAGCCCAAGCCCACUAAGCCCAAAGCCCAGUAAACCCCAAAGCGCCGAGGUCCCACGACGUGCCCCAGGCGACGUGCCCUAGUAGGCCUGCCCCGCCCCCGACUGGCUCUCACCCGCGCCCCCUUGGCUGGCGAGCGGUAGGCGUUGUGCAGCCCGUACGGCGUGCCUGUGUGUGUGUGUGUGUGUGUGUGUGUGUGUGUGUGUGUGUGUGUGUGUGUAUGUAUGGAGGGGGGGCGCACCCGCACGGAUGUGGUAUUUGGGAGGUGCGGGACGGCCGGUGCACGGGCACCUGCGGCUGCGAGCGUCGCCGCCCCUUUCACCCCACCUUCGCGACCCUGAGCCCUGCUGCAAGUACGGCAGUGGUGCAGUCCCCAAUGGCGGACAAGCGGUGGCAGCAUCCAGUGGCAUGGAUCCAAAGCCGUGGGCGCGAUCCCGCCCUGCGAUGCCACGCCCCCCACCCGUCCCUCUGGAUCCAGACGCACCCUGGGCUUUGGGGUCCCAGAACAGCGGCCCCCCGGCAACGGGCGGCGGCGGCGCCUGCAGUCAGGUAAGUAUUGCCGGUGGUCACGGGAGCACCGUACUCGGGAGGACACUGUGACUUGGGAGUGGAACUGUCGCCAUCCGCGAGAGGGUUUACGCCACGAGGCGACUGCGUGCUAGCAGCAAUGCCUCUCGUCCCACACUCCCUCCCACUACGGGCUGGGCCUCCCGGGCUGUCACAGCCGGUCACACGCCGCACCUGUGCUGGGCAGCCCCGCCCUCCACGCCCACGCCCACGCCCACGCCCACGCCCACGCCCACGCCCACGCCCACGCCCAUCACCCAAACGCCUCCCCCGACCUGCCCCUGCACAGCCCACCACACCUCUUGCCGAGGGUUCGCAGCUCGCCGCUCCCGAUAGCCUGCCUGCACCUCCAAGGCCCUCGCGGAGGGAGCGCGCGCGAUGGCAUUCAGCUCCCGCUGGUCCCUGUCGCCGUAGCUGGCCUUCAGGAUUCUGUCCAUCCUAAAGUUGUGUCUCAAAGUAAUCUAUGUGGGCAACAGUCAACGUCAGGUGUAGUGCCCAUGUCGCCCGCGGCAGGCGGACGCACGCCUGUCAGCAUGAAUUCUUCAGUUGUAAUGCAUAAGCGACAUAGCAGAACUAUAACUAGCUACAAAGCUUUGAUGUUGACAGUCAACUUGAACAAUGAAUGCUGACUUUAUGAGAGCGUCGGGGCCCUCCUUACAAGUCGGAUUAAUGACGAUAGACUACAAGUAACUUCCCACAAAUAAGGACGUGCAAAUGAGCUGGUUUCACGCAAUCGCGCCCACACGUACCCGGAGGACGCUACCCGCCCUCGUCGCCCCUGCUCCCACUGCCUUGCCUUGCCAACAUACAUUUCUCUGCUUGCUUCGCCACCUACUUCUAAAUACCAUGAUAUCCUAUCCUCCGCAUUUGUCGUGGGUUUGCGUGACCUGGCGUGACAGGUGAGUCGGUGGCGGUGACGCUGUGCCUAUCCCUUCAUGGUUAUCUGUGCAGCGUGCUGUGGUGGAGUGCACCUACGACUCUACCGUUCGACUACACUUAGCACCAAUUGACUGUUUCAGAGACACGGAGUGACACAAGAGCCGCUCGCGAAAGUUGACAAGUCUAACGUUGCUGUGCUGCAAGUCCCUUGUCCCAUCGCCCUCCCCAUUAAGACACGAGGUUAGCGUUCAAGCAUUUGUGUAUCUUUACAUCUCCGCUUGCUCUCGGCUCCACUCCAAACACAUCUGAACUCACUCACAGGUCCACUCCUCAGUGACCGAAACCGGUGGUGCUCGGAGCACCUACUGCCGCUUGCUGUACACUCGCCCCAUCUCGAGGGCAUCCGACAAACCACGACACCAACCACGAACCGAAUCCCUCACCCGCGUGCGCCUCCGGCGCCGUCAUUCAAAAAUCGGCGCCAAGCGGCAGCAAGCAAGGCAUCAAAACCAGGACCCACACGCCCCCAGCAGGGAGGCGCAGGCGCGCGCGCGCGUGCGCACGCGUGAAUGCCCGCCAUAUCUAUCGCAGAUGCGGCACGACAUCCCGCCCUAUUUGUCUCACCAGACCACUACGCACUGGCCCCUUCUCAUGCAUCAGAUCAUAAUACAAGGGUGCCUUGCGAGCCAACCCGACACUCCCCACAGCCCGCAGGCACGCAAGGGCGCCGGCGGGGCCCCGCGCGCCUGCGCUCAGCGCGCACGCGACUACGCGCCCCGGCCAUACGCCGCUCGCCAACCUAGCACUUGGCCGCAAGUAGCUGAGACACAAGCAACUAAGAACCAGCUAGCACAAACCUGCCGAAACAAAUCAGCAAAUUUACGCCACCCACUUCUUGGCGGUGACCUCAGCCAGGUCGACCACGCGCUGGGAGUAGCCCCACUCGUUGUCGUACCAGGCCACGACCUUGACCAUGUCGUCGCCCAUGACCAUGGUCAGGGAGGCGUCGAUGGAGGUCGACUGGUCGGUGCACUUGAAGUCAAUGGACACCAGGGGGGCGUCCUCGACGUGCAGCACGCCCUUCAUGGGGCCGUUGGCGGCCUCGCGGAAGGCGGCGUUCACCUCCUCGGCGAAGGUCUUCUUCUCAACCUGUGGUUGAGCGGGAGCGCAGGACAGGACAGGAGGGUGGGUCAGUGACAGCCUCAAGACAAGUUACUGAGGCGUGCAGCAUGCCACCGGCAACACGAAAUAUACAAGAAUUCGGUAAGCGGCGCCCACUGUCCAGGUGUAGUUGUUACAGCGCAAGGGGAGGCAGUCUCACCUGGACGACCAGGUCGACGACCGACACGGUGGGGGUGGGCACGCGCAGGGCAAUGCCGUUCAGCUUGCCCUUCAGGCUGGGCAGCACCAGCGACACGGCCUUGGCGGCACCGGUGGUGGUGGGCACAAUGUUCAGGGCGGCGGCGCGGGCGCGGCGCAGGUCGCGGUGGGACGCGUCCAGCAGGCGCUGGUCACCGGUGUAGGAGUGGGUGGUGGUCAUCGUGCCCUUGACAAUGCCGAACUUCUGCUCCAGCACCUGGGGUAGGCAAGGGAGAGGGGAAAGGGGAAGGGCCGGGUCAGAGACAGGUGAGCUGACAAGACAAGAUAUCCCAGGGCACUCGGACCCGCAACACCGUGGACGCUCUUGCCGCCCCCCGCAUUUAUUCCUGACGAAAAAGCCACAGCAAGCAACAUGCGUAAGCUUCCUUACCUUGACGAAGGGGGCCAGGCAGUUGGUGGUGCACGAGGCGUUGGAGAUGAUGGGGUACUCGUGCUUGUAGUCGCCCUCGUUCACACCGACCACGAAGGUGGGGAUGUCCUUGUCCUUGGCGGGGGCGGUGAUCAGCACCUUGGAGGCACCGGCCUAUAGAUGUGUGGGGCAAGGCAGGGGGGUCAUGUCAGCAGGGGGAACGAGCUCAAUGGGCGAGCGAGCGCCGUUACUCGUAACGCCAACACCCCCCCACUUGCUAGCGAGCAGUGCCGACCCAAAACGUGCACACCCAAAACCCCCGUCGCUUCCCGGCCCAGAGAUGCGCUUUAAUUGCGGCAUGCUCACCUGGAUGUGCUUGCCAGCGCCAACCUUGUCAAUGAAGACACCAGUGCCCUCAAUGACCAGGUCGAUGUUCAUCUCCUUCCAGGGCAGCUGCAGGGGGUCGCGGCUGGACACAAUCUUGAUCUGCUUGCCGUCCACCGAGAUGUGGCUGUCGUCGACGAUCUUAACAUCGGCGGCGAACGUGCCCAGGGUGGAGUCGUACUUCAGCAGGUGGCUGGCCUGCUUGACACCGCCGCUGUCGUUGAUGGCAACCACGUCCAGCAGGGUGUUCUGGCGACCGUGCCAGCAGCGCAGGAAGUUGCGGCCAAUGCGACCGAAGCCGUUGAUGGCCACGCGGAUCUUCUUCUCCGCGCGCACGUCGACGACGGCGCGGGCAGCCUGCGAGCGCGAUGCAAGAGAGUAGGAUCGGUGAACGUUGACCUGGCAACCCAACUAUCUUAUUUAUCAACUGAUCACACACGUAGCAGAAGCCCGCCGAAGACCCAGCGAGUGCUGGGCUGUGCGACCCAAGAACCCAAGUCCGCAAGCAAAAGCCGAGCCAUGCCCACCUUGGCGCGGACGCCAGACUUGGAGGACACGGCGCUGCCGGUGAAGGCGCUCUGCAAGCGCAAGAAACAAACAGGCGCGGUCAGGACUAGAAGAAAGAGGCGCCUGAGGCGCUUGGGUCGGGAUCACAUCUGGAAGUUCUGGGUGACAAGUCGCUGGUCUUUGGAUAUGUAUUGCUGUUCGGUAUUGAGUGCACUGCGCACCUUCUGCAUCAUGGCGGCCAUUUUGGACAGGACCCGUAAGAGUACCGAGCUUGCUGAGCCCGCGUUGCUUUUAGCCGGUCGGCUCGGCUCGCUCGGUGCCGUACGGGUGGCGACCCAUGCAGCCUUAUCGGCGUCGUACCUCGCGUUCGCCGCUGAACGAGCGCGCGGUGCCCCCUGGAUGAUGCUUGUAAAUCUAGACCCACUCACUGCGACGCGCGCGGGGGUGCGCGGGAGCGACCGGCGCGCGGGGAAGCCCCGGCAUUCUAGUCAAGUUUUGCGGGACUCGCGGCCGACCGCAUUUUAACCAUGGCAAUGACUUAUUGAUGCGAUAGGAGAAACAUCAAAAUUUUCUCUAGGGGUCGACGAGCGCUGCGCGCACGCUGGUGCUUGCACUCAGCUCGAGAACCCGCGACACUCGCGAAAGCCACGCUUUAUUCUUUAUCAUGCUUUCUUCUAUUGCUGCGUAAGUAUUCUACUCCCGGCAAGCCUGGGAAGCAUGCAAGGCAGUCAGGGCUUUCGCGUUCGCGUGGACACGACGCUGUAAGGCGCGAAAUAUACAUCUCACUCAGAAAAGAAUGCGGGGACUGUCCGUUCUAAAGGAGCGCUGGCGGCGUGAGAAGCGACCGCGAGUGCCCAUCGUGCAACAUCUCUAAGGAGCGCUUGGGGAGACACGCCGUGCUGUGGACUUGACCGGGCACACGACGGGUGUUCAGGGCGUGCAAAGACAUCGCGAACUGAUCUUGGGAACUGCGUGACCUUUCGCCUAUCAUGGUGCGGCCAGCGUGGAAGGGCGGGACGCGCCGUGUCGGCCCGACAACGCCGGGACACGCCGCUACUUGUUGUCAGGGUGGGAGCGCUUGCACUGGGCGUCCGUAGAGGUGCAUCUGACAGGUAGCCGCCAGACGUCGGGGUGCAUGCGUAGGGGCAGUGAGGGCUCCAGGGCGUGGCUCCAGGGUGUGGCGGUGCAAAGCGCUCGCGGGCGGCUCGCGUACCACGGUGCUGCUCAAGCCCGUAUCUUGGGAUGACAAAGGCAACGGAUGACGGCGACAGUUGGGUGACAUCAGCGGGCCAUGCGGUGGACUGUUGGUGGACGUGACGCCAUGCGGCUAAAGACGGUGGGGCAAAACAUGUGGGUGCCCAAAUGCUGUACAGCAGGGGGCUGUUGUACAUAGCACUGCAUAGCAGAACUGCCUUGCAGGGGGUUGCUACUUGUCCUUGGUUCUCAUGGGAUGGUGCAAGCAACUGCCCUCUGCCCCCACAACAGCAGCUUGCAAUCAGGCGCAGCCGCGCGCGGCAGGGCUGCUGGGCAUCCAGUCACGCAGCCGCACCCCCGGUCCUGCCUGGUCACAUCCGCCUGCCUAGCCGGCUUCCCAGGCGUUGCCCGCUCGGUCGCGUGGGGGCUUAUGGGCGUGAAGGAGGGCAACUGUGUGACGCGGCUGAGUUAACAGCUCGACAUGCAGUGGCGGGAAGCCCCCAUGAAGGCGCCAGCGCGUGGUGGGCUGCAGCCUUCUCCAGGGGAGGCCCUGCCUCCCAAGUGGCUGCGUGCGGUCGCCACCGCCCCAAGCUGCCACCAGUGCUCGUAUCUUGUAGAUGCCCUCAGGCACCCGGCAUCUACACAUGCGUAGAUGACCCUGACCGCGGCAUCUACACUUAAGCCCCCAAGCCCCCCAAAACGUCUACGCUUCCCCCAUUUUUGCGCCAAAACCGGCCAAAACUGUCUACACUGCGUAGAUGCGUGGCACCCAAACCCAAAAAUUUUUCUCCGCCUUCGGCGGAUUUUGGGCAGAUUUCUACAGUGUAGAUGGAAGAUACGAGCACUGGCUGCCACCUGCAUAAUCCUGUGCGCCCGCGAAGGGGCAUCAUGGUCUUGCAGCUGGUAGCAACGGGGAUGGGCACGCGACCCACGAGCGCGGAGGCUGCAGCGCACGGCGCCCCCGGUGCACCCGUGCUGGGCGCGAGCUUCUCCUAAGCCACGGUGUUGAAGCACAUGACUUGUGGCCUUGAGAACGCAUACAGCUGGAAUUGCCACGGAUGCGGCGACAUUGGGACUUGCCAGGUCAGCCAGGUCCAGGGGGGCUCCCUGGCCAGGUCAGCCCUGUCCAGCCCUUGCGUUACUGCGGUCCCCGCCUUCUCGGGUGCGUCCGUGCUCCAUGGACCUGCUGUCGCAUGUGCGAUUGUUUGGAAGGGCAAUUGCACAGCAGAGCGGCGGUGCGUCGGGGGGUGGGGUGGGAGCGGGGGGGCCGGGGGGGGGGGGGGGCUGGGCCGGGGCUGCGCUGGCACCGGAGUCCUGCACCGGGCCUGGGAUGAUCAUGUGCGCCCAUUCUGGAAGCCUAGCGCCACCGCGCCUGCUACAGUGUUUCGCACAAUCACAUCAGCAGCGAUAACUCUGACCCAAUCUCUCUCUGAAGCUAGCUAGCCCACGCGCUCACUCAGUAAGCUCUGUGAACUCUAAACCGUGCCUCCACGAAAAGGUUGUGCCUUUGGAAUGUUAUACCAACGUAUAGCAACGGAUGCGGACAGUAUAGAGUUGCAGCGCUGGUAAAGACGGUGGAGAACAAUGGGAAGUGCAUGCACAAAAGCAGGCCGGGAGGAAGCUGCCUUCCUCAAGGCGGCAAAGGAUGGUGACUGUGGACAAGUACAGCAGGUGCAGCGGGGCGGUGUCGCGGGAAGCACGUAAUUGAAUGCCGUUCAUGUAGCAGCGCGCUUGCGGAUGCGAUGAGUGGCUAGCUUCAUUUCAUAUUGCACAUUUCUACACCCCAACUCGCGCGGGGGGCGUUCGCAGAGGCCAGAACUUUAACCACCGCAUCAUGCUGGGCUGCCUCUCGCAGGCCAUCCUAAAGCACGUGGACUGGGGCUACAGGGCCCAGACGUGGAAUGGACAGAGCGUCUUCCACCUGGCAGCGCGCUAUGGGCGAGUGGACGUAUUGGAGACGGUGGUGGAGGCGGUCCGGUAUAAUCCCGCUGGACCGGACCAGUGGAAGAAGCUGCUACGGUGCGUUUUGGAAGUGCGAAGCGGGGAGGGACGACGAUGUUUAGCGUGGCGGGGCUCGGCAAGCGCAGGAGCCCGGGCGGGCCCGGGGGGCGAAGCGCGUGUGCGUGUGCAGGGUUUCGUGGGCAGGUUGGGCCGUACCUGGUUGCGCGUUCGUAGUUUUUUCCUGGGAGCGCGGAGUACGGCCCAGUAGAGCACCCCUCGCCCAGCCACACAGCGCCUGGCGCAAUCGCGAGCGGCUCGUGAGGCGAGCUUGCACGAACGGCGCUGCGCGCCUGCGGGGCCUGGGGUCGGGGUGGCGAAGGGAUGAAGGAUUUUGGAGAGAGGGGCGUGGCCAGCAGCCGGCCGGCACGGGGCAAGGGUGCCGCGGCCCAACCAGCCUCCAGAGGUUUGAUGUGGGUCGGGUCUGAAGCUGCACGCAGAUGCCGUGCUGUGUUCGGAGAUUGCGCAGCUAACGGGGUUGGCUAGAAGGAAAGGCAGGCAGUGCAAAGGCGGGUUGAGUGGGGGCGCCGCGCAGCAUGUUGGAAGGCGCCUGGGGGCUGACACACGGGCGCGAAUCUGAGGGGGCUGACGGAGCGGGUUGGCAGGGGGCUGUGGGGUAGGGGUGCCGGGCUGCGGGUGUCGCCGUGUCAGGUGGCAUGCGUGUGUGUGUGUGUGCCUGAUGCGUGGUCCAGCACCCGUGGUCCGCCGUGUGGCGCCGCGGCGCCGCCUGAGCUGUCCUCGCGGCCAGGCGGCCGGCACUUGUGUGCGUGUGUGUGUGGUGUGUGUGUGUGUGUGGGGGGGGGCUUGGCAGGAACCUAGGGCUCCAGUAGGCAUGAGAAUGAGCGCGCAUGGGGCGGCGCUCUCACGGCCGUCCCCCCGCCGCCCCCACAUCCCCGCACCCAAUCCCCACCCCAACCCCCUCCCCCACCGCAGGAUGGGCCACUCCACGGACGCCAUUCUGAAGGCCUACGCCAACCUGCAGGUGCGCGCGCGCGCGCGUGUGUGUGUGUGUGUGUGUGUGUGUGUGUGUGUGUGUGUGUGUGUGUGUGUGUGUGUGUGUGUGUGUGUGUGUGUGUGUGUGUGUGUGUGUGUGUGUGUGUGUGUACAAGCGUGGCACGGCGCUGUGUUAGGACACGAGGAACGGUGCCGUGUGUGCGUUGUGGGUGUCGGGCCGGGAAACAGACCGCGCCAUCAUGUGUUGGAAAAGCAUAAAAAGGGGCAGGGUCGGCAUUGUGCAGGCGAAUGUGCAAGCAAAGCGGGGGUAUCUUUACGAGUGUCCGUUCGUGGUGGGCUCUGGGCACGUGUGGGGCUGGCGCCGCGAACACUGCUGGCAGUGCGCCCUGUGAUGCCAGGGGCCGGGCGGCUGGCGGCGCUGUCGGCCUUGAGGGCUUAGCUCCUAGCUAUGUCCUCCCCGUCCUCCCGUUGUCUUGAGCCUUUGCCGUGUGGUCCGCUCCGCCUUCUCGCUCCACCGACCCAUCCUCUCCCGACUCCUCUGCGGUCGGUCAGUCAUUCAUGCUUAGAGCGCCUCCCGUCCCUGCCUGUUCUACCUCCCUGCCUUCCUACCGGCUCCCCUCCCCGCCUCCCCACCGCCUCCCUGCCUCCCCACCACUUCCCUCCCCACCACUUCCCUCCCCAUCACGUCCCCCCAUGCCCCCCCCGUCCCCCUGUCCCCCUGUCCCCCUGUCCCCCCCCCACCCAGGACGCCCGCUGCCAGACGCCGCUGCACAUCGCCUGCAUCUACGGCAAUGCUGACGUGGCGGCGGCGCUCAUCAAGCUGGGCGCCAUGCCCUGGGCCUGGGACGAGCUGGGUGAGGGCGUGGUGGAGGGAAGGGUGGGGGGGGGGGGGAAAGAGAGAGAGAAAAGGGAAGAGGGGAGUGGCAAGGUUAAGACAUUUGGGGGGAGGGGUAGCCGGUCAUGUGGAGAACGGGGUGGUUACAUCACAAGCCGACAUCCGUAGGGAGUCGAGAGUCUGGACACCCGACCCGGCCCCGCCCACAACCCACCCGCCCCUCCCCCCAGUGUUUUGACAUUGCAACUCCCUCUUCGCUACACUUCUCUGCACCAAUCCUUGCACCGGGAAGGGGUGGGGGAGAGUGAAGAGGGGGUCGCAAAGAUGGUUGGGGUGUAGCCGGUCAUGUGAAGAAACGGAAUGAGGUAAAGCAGUAUGCUGACGUCCGGAGGCUGGAGACCCGACCCGACCCUCCCACAUCCCACCACCUGCCCCCGUCUACCACUUCCUUAACUAGUCAUGCAUGUAACACCCCCCUCCCCCCAGGCGGCCGCACUCCGCUGCACUACGCCGCCAGCAUGGGCCACGUGGACGUCAUCCGGGCGGUGCUGGCCGCAGCCGGCCCCCCGCCCAGCGGCGAGGCGCUGCGGCGGCCCAACACCAGCCGGACCAAGUGAGGGAACCGGGGGAGGGAGGGAAGGAGGAUUUGGGAAAGGAGGGCGGAUUUGGGGUGGCAGGUGCCUGGGGCCGGGGAUGGGGGCGGGGGCGGGGGCGGGGGCGGGGACGGGGGGCGGGGUGGGGGGCGGGGAACUGGAUGUGGGCGCAUGGGGCGUGCGGCGGGGGAUGGGGGCCGGGGCUUGGGUGUGCUGUCCCUGACAUGUACACACACGCGGUCUGCAAACACAAACACACGAACACGCAUUGUGCUAUCCUAACACACAAACGCACACACUGCGCGCACACACAGGCUGGUGGACAUCUGCAACGACUCGGGCUACACGCCGCUGCACUACGCGGUGAGGGUGGGGUGGGUGUGGGGAGUGGGGUGGUGGGGUGGGUGGGGUGCAAUCCCAAAGAAACCAAGACCCAGAACCAGCCCUGGGGGUGGAGUGGGAGUGGGAGUGGGGCCGCACGGGCAGCUGUUACAGGGGGCAGGGUAGCGGGUGUGUGUAGCCCGCUUGGAUCGAUGGGCCCAAGAAUCCAAGGUGGGCAGAGGUGGCGAGGCGUUAGCCAUGAGCACCCCGCAAACUCAGCACAACCCGCCCACCCAUCCUCCCACCCCCUCUACCACUUCCUUAACUAGUCAUGAAUGUAACCCCCUCUUUAAUACACACCGUCGGCAUGAAUAGCUACCCCAUAACCAGUCGUGCACGCCCCCCACCCCUCCCGCCCUCCCCACUCCCAUUACCCGCACCCUCCCGCUCCCCCCCUCCUGCUCCCCCCUCUCCCCCCCCAAAAAGGUGUGGGCCGGCAACACCGCCUCCAUCCGCGCGCUGGUGAGCUACGAGGCGUCGCUGUCGGCUCGCAACGUGGCGUGCGGCAGCGACUGGGUGGUGUCGGCGCUCAAGUGCACGCCGCUGCACCUGGCGGCGCACAAGGGCAACGCGGCCGUGGUGAAGCUGCUGCUCAGCGCCUACGUGAGUGUUGGUGUGGAGGCGGGGGUGGGGUGGAGGGGGUGAGGGGGUGAGGGGGUGGAGGGGUGGGGAUGGGGGGGGGGUGUUCAGGGGGAUGGAGGGGGGGGGUUGGGGUGGAGGGGUGGAGGGGUGGAGGGGGGGUUUAGGCGUGGGGUUGAGGGGUUAGGGGUGGGGGCGGGGGUGGGGUUGUUAAGGGAUAGCGCUAGGGAGGAUUCACGCAGGGCAGGGCAGGUGGCUUGUGUUGUGGAGGGAGAGUCAGCUGCACGGUAUUUCCAAGUCGAGGCCCAGAACCGGAAACCACUCGCAAGCUUCGUCUGCGUCGUCACCAGUACCAGUUGCCUGACUCAGCCAUCCCCACAACCCCGUCCAUCCGCCCCCGCAGGUCCAGAGCCAGGUGCCGCAGGGCUCCGAGCCGCCGCCCGUGCACGACCGCCGCCGCCGCGACCCGCGCCGCCACGUCAACGCCGCCCGCCAACUGCCGUACCACGUGGCGGUUGCGCGCGGCCACAACCACCUGGCCGAGCUGCUACACCCCGACGUGCCGUUCAGUUUUAUUCUGUCGCCCGCCGAGAUGGAGAGUACGGCAAGGCUGUACGGCGUCACGAAACUUGCCGUACUGGCGGCCAAGGUCCUGCAGGCCAAGCUGGUGUCGGACAUUGACGAGGCGCUGGCGGCGCUGGCGGCGGCGCCGGGCCGCGGCGGCGGCGGCGCCGGCAGCGCCGCUGCCGCCGGUGGCGGAGGCCUCGGUGGCGGCGGCGGCGGCGGCACGUUCUCUCGGGCGCGGUCUGGGAGCAUAGCGGCGCUGAGCGGCGCGGUGGCGGCGGCGGCGGCGGCGUCCAUGCGCGAGCGGUCCGUGCAUGGCUCCGUGCACGGCGGCGGCGGCGCGCUGGGGGCGCUGGCCGGCGGCGUCGGCGGCGGAGGCGUGCCGACGGCAGCGGCGCUGGCGGCGGCGGCCUCCGCCAGCCUGGACGCAGUGCUGGCGGCGUCGGCGGCGGCCGCCGGCAAGGAUCCGGCACGGAUCCUGGCGGCGCGCGCGUCACAGGAGAAUGCUGCCGCCGCCGGCGGCUCGCCGGCCACCGCCAUAGCCGUCAGCCCGGUCGCGACCGCCAUGGCGGCGGUCACAGGCGCCGGCGCGGCGGCGGCGGCGGCGGCGGCGGAGGCCAACGGCCAAGGCGGCGGCGGCGGCGGCGGCGUGAAGGGGGCGUCUGGGACGUCGUCGUCUCCGCCGUCGGCUGGGUCGUCGGGGGAUGCGGACCCGCUGACUGUGGAGCCCAUGCCGGUGCGUGGGGGCGGGCGUGGGGGCGGGUGCAUGGGGGUGCGGGAGAAGGAGUGGGUGCGGGUGCGGGGGCUGGCGGUUUGCGCCCUUCCCAUGAGGACUGAGCAUGGGUGGGGUCGGGUGCGGGCGUUGGGGCUGCCCAGCCAUGGGCGGUGUUGCGUUUGGGAUUGGGAGCUGGGCGCUUGCGCCGUGUGCUGGGACUGUGGGUUCCGCCUGUGCUGAGCCGUUUGCCGGCAGCUCCGCAGCUCCGGCAACGCCACCACCGGACCGUGUACGCACCACCACCACCGCCUGCUCCCGCGCACCACUGACCCCUCCUCCUCGUGCGGGCGCCGCUCACUGACGUCACACGCACACACCACUGACCCCUCCUCUGACGCCCCCCGCACACACAGGACGCCAUCGCGCGCGCCCGCGCCUCCGGCGAGCCCCUGGGUGCCGCCGCCGCCGCCGCCGCCGCCGCUACCGGCAUCAGCGCCCAACCGUCGCUGGGCCAGCCCGGCGCAAGUGCAAGUGCAGCAGCACUGCACAGCCCCGGUGCUACCAGCCCCGCCGGCGGCGCGCAGGCGGCGCCGCUGCCGCUGCCGCCCGCGCCCCUGUCGCCGUUCCUGCCGGCGGCUGGCGCCGCCGGCGGCCUUUCGGCUCCCACCUUCAACGACGGCGCCUCCGCCUUCGCCAUGUUUGCCGCGGAGCCCUUCGACGACCCGGCUGCCGCCAAGGCGGCGGCGGCGGCGGCCGCCGCCGCCGGCCAGACGCCGCCGCUGGCGGCGGCGGCCGCUGCGCCGCCGCCGCCGCCGGGCACUGGGCCGCUGCCGCUGCCGCCCGCUGGCAGCCUGGCGUCGGCGCAGCGCAACCGGGCGCAGGUGGUUGCGGCGGGCGGCGGCGGCGGGAGUCCCGACCCGUCGGCCUCGGCGGCGGCCGGCGCGCGGCGGAGCCGGCUGCUGGGCGGUGGCGGCGGUGGCGGCGCCGCCGCCGCAGCAGGCGCCAACGGCGUCGCUGCCAAGGUGCGCGAGAGCGUGUGCUUUCUUUUCGGCGCCUGGGGUCGGGCAGGUUGUGGUUCGAGUCAGGGUAAUUUGGGCAAGCAGGGGGGCACCCCGUCCCACCCUCCGAAUGCGGGUCGGUAGUCGCAUGCAUGAUACGGUAAAGGUCCCUUGAUGGAGUUUUCCCGACCCGCUCAUUACGCAUGUGCCCAUGUACCCCGUGGGCCGCACCGCACGCAGGCGCCCGGCCGCUCCCGCAGCCUGCGUAGCCUGCUCACGGGCGGCCGCCAGCGCCGCGCCGGGCCGGGGCUGGGCACGGUUGGCAGCGGCCGCGUCGGCGGCGGCGGCGGCGGCGAGAUGGGCAUUGCGUCGGACCAGGUGGGGAGGGUUCGUGGGAUUCAGCAGGGCUGCCGAGGGGGUUUUGUUGUGUUUUGUUGGGGGCGGGGCGGGGCGAGGCGGGGCGGGGCGGGGCGGGGCGGGGCGGGGCUGGGCUGGGCUGGGCGGGGCGGGGCGGGGCGAGGCGAGUGGCAGGAGCAGGGUUUCGUGUGUGCCCUUUUUGACACUACGAUGUCAUCUGACACUUAUAACUUCGCUGACGUGGUCACAGGACCUGGAGGACGCGGACGAGCUGGAGGACAUCCUGUUCGCCAUCCAGCCACACGACCAGGCAGAGGCAGCCGCCGCCGCAACCGCCGCCGCCGCCGCCGCCGCCGCCGCCGCGGGCGCCGCCACGCCAAGCGCCGCGCCGGCCCUGGCCCCCGGCCCGGUGCCGCAGAAUCCGGAGGGCUCGGUUGCUGGCGGCGGCGGCGGUGGCGGCGGCGGCGGUCUGUGGGGCCGCCGCCGGACCGGCGUGGCGCCGUCGACAGGCGGCGGCGCCGGCACGGAAGCCGCGCUUCUAGCCGAGGCCUCCCGUAGCGGCCGCGGCGUGCGACAGCCCCACCCAGGCGCCGCGCCGGACUCGCCGCAGGCCGGCCGCUCCGUUCGCGGCGGCGGCUUCUGGCGGCGGCGGUCCGGCACACUGCCCGCGCCGGCGUCGGCGGCGGCGUCGCCGCCGCCAGCGGCGGCGCCGCUGGCGGUGGCUGCCGCAGACCCGUCCUUCCACACGGAGCCCAGCGGCCACGAGGCGAGCCGGCAGCUGUCUUUCCAGGGCGCCAGCGGCGCUGCCUGCAGCGCGGCCGGCGGCGCUACUGUGCAGCCGCUGCCCGACGCCGCCAGCAUCAUCCGCUCGCGUCUGUCCAACGACGCCGCCGCCGCCGCCGCCGCCAACACCAGCGGCGGUGCGCCCGCCAGCCCGACCACGGCGGCGGCGACGGAGCGCAUCGCCGCCACCAUCGCAAACCUGGCGGGCGCCGGCGCAGCCGGCGGCGCAGCCGCCGGCACCGGCGGCGCCGGCGGCGCCGCCGCCGCCAUGGAUCUGGAUCGCGCGGUGGCGGCGAUGCUUGCCAACCUGGCGGAGGCGCCGCAGCAGGUGCUGCGCCGCUACCGGCUGCUGCAGCUGACGCAGGGCGUGGACCUGCAGGACCUGCUGCGGGACCACCAGGAGCUGGCGGCGGCGGCGGCGGCGGUGGACGCGGCGGCAGCGGCGGCGGGGCUGCCGCCGGCGGCGGCAGCCGGCGGCGCAGCCGGCACAGCCGGCGCGGCCGGCGCCGGCGGCGCCGGCGCGUACGCGCCGGCACAGCCGCCGGCGGUGCUUGCGAGCGCGCUGCAGCGGGCGCGCUCGGACGCAGAAGGGCUGAUGCGCGGGGCGGUGGGGCAUGGCUGGGUGGACCGGUCCUCCCGCGCCGGCGGCGGCGGUGCCGCUGGCGCCGGCAGCGGCGCGCUGCAGGGCCAUGGCUCCUACCGCGUCGGCGGCGGAGGCGGCGACGCAUCCGCCCGCGCCGGCUCCGGCGGCGGCGGCGGCGGUGGUGGCGGCGGCGGCGGUGGUGGCGACGCGGCGGGCGGCAGCGCUUUCCUGGAGCACCGGGUCACGUGGCACGGCCGCGGGGGGCCCGCAAUGGCAGACACGGCGGUGCCGCUGGGCGCGUCGCCGCCAAGGGCGCUCACCGCCGGCGGCGACGGCAAUACUGGCAGCGGCGGCGGCGGCGGCGGCGGCGAUGGCCUGACGCCCGCCGCCACCGCCGUCGCCGCGGAGCUGAGCCCCUUCGCCUCGGUGGCCGCGGCGGCUGCGGCGGCGCCCUCCCCGGUGCCGGCGCCAGCCGCCUGCCACGACCUGCUCGCCUUCACGGCCCCCGUCAUGCCCACCUCGGCCUCGGAGGCGCAGCCAACGCCGGCCGGCGCAGCCAGCCCUAGCACCGCUGCUGCCGCUGCAGGCGCAGCCGCGUCGCCGUUUGCCGCCGCGGGGAUCCUGACGCCCGCCGCCAGCGGCACUCCCGCCAGCGCCGCGGAUGCGGGCGGCCGCACCCUGUCCCGCCAGCCCACCGGCACAGGCUUCGCCGCCGCUCCCGGCGCCGCCGCCACUGCCGCCGCCGCCGGAGGCGCCGGCGCCGGCGCCGCCAUGGCUGGGACGCUGCUGCGCGCGCUGUCGUCGCAGGCCGCCAGUGAGAGUGGCGAGGGCGUGUGCGGCGUGUGCUUUGACCAGCCCGACGUGCUGGCCGUGACGGGCUGCGGGCACCGGCUGUGCACGGACUGCAGCCGGGAGCUGUGCAAGCUCAACACCUUCAAGCCGGCGCUGUGCCCCUUCUGCCGCGGCCUCAUCGGCGGCUUCAAGCUGGUGAAGCAGUGAGCGGCGCGGCGGCUGGCAGAGGUUUGGGGGUGGGGGCGGAGGUGUAGGAGGUGUAGGUGGAGGCGGGGGUGGGAGCUGCAGGUGUUGGCUGGAAGAAGACGCGCGGCGACGUGCCGCGCGCGUUCAGAAAAGGGCUAGGGGGCCGUGGAGGUGGACGAAGUGGUGGUGGUGGUGGUGGUGGUGGGGCAGGGGCCGCGGAGGGAUGGGAUGCAGGAGCGCAGGAGGGGGUUCAGGGAGCAGCAGGGGGCGCGCCGCCAUUGCGGCUGCAGUACAGGCCUGGCAUGCACGUGCAUGACGUUAGGCAUAUCACAUGAUGGCAGACAUGCAGGCGGGCGGACAGAGCUGGGGUUGUGUGACUGGGCUUGUGGCCUCAGCGGGCCAGGCCGCAUCUGUUAGUCAGGGUGGGGCAAGGGGAAAGGUGAGGCGACCGGGGAGAAAGCAUGGCUGAGGCUGCUGCUGCUGUGGCGGUUGGGCACGCAACGGAUCCAAAUCCACACACGUGUGUAUGCAUAUGGCAGCUGAGGUCCCGGGGCAGGGGGUGAAUUUCUAUGCGUUUGGCGAUGCAGACCUGCUCUCCGUGCUGCUGCUCGCCCCUGCCCAUGCAUCAGUAUGUGUGACUUUCGUAGGCCAAGAGAGAUCGAGGCGUGCCACGCCGCGCAUUCAAUUAUUUUGCGGUUGCGGCCGUGUAUUUUGGGCUGAUUCUAACGGGCCUGUUUUGAUUUACGUUAUGCUAAUGCCGUGCAUUCCCGAGCGCUUCGCUCCAGAACAAGUACGAUGCAAGCCACUGUCGUUGUGGGUCGCGCUUCUGCUCUCGGCUUUCUAUUGCGUUUUGCAUAACUCGUGGGGGCCUCUGGUGCAGUCUGCCCUGGCAGAGCCGGUCCCGGCGCUCACAUUACAUAACGUGCUCCAGUUGCUUUGCCGGCGCACUGCAAACAGGCUUUUGCAAAAUUGCUGCGCUGUCUAGGCCACGAAGUGACGACGAAAGCAGACGGCUGCGUGUGUGGGACCCUGUGUUGAAACAUUAACGGAAGAAAACCGCCCAGAUGCCGGAGAUACUGGGGCCGUGUGUGAGUGCGUGUUUUGCAUUUGGGGUAUUAUCUUUGCGGGCACUGCCGCCGCCGCUGCCGCGCGGGCGGCAGCAGCUUGGCCUGGCUGUGUGGCGGCAGGGCCCUCCAGGGCUGCUCGGUGCGGGGGCAUGGCAUCCUGGGUUGCGGCGAGGCAGACACAUUCAGUGUGGGGGAGUGUAGCGCAGCACAGUGAGCGGUCUGUAGGCUGUGUGACGCGGCGCACGGCGUAAGUCGAGGCGGCGACGGAGGAUGCGCUGCGGGAGUUUGCGCCCAGUGCGCACCGUGACCAGCUGCGGUGAUGCGCAGAUAGAUGAUUGGGCAGAUGGCGGGUACAGGGAAUGGGGGGCUCCAGUGGCGUAUCGCACACGGGCGGCAAUGUUUGGAGCAUGCAGGAGGCGGAGGGACGAGGCAGGGACCGGCAUAACGACCUGUCGCAUUGCGUGCGACACAGCAUCAGAGCGCACCAAGAGGUGGCGCAUGGCGGAAGCAUGAGGGGAGGGGACGCUGCCUCCGUGUGAUUCAUGUAAGGUAGGCUGGAGCGCCCAGCGUGCGAAAUGGGCGGGAUUGCUGUACGCGGCUGGGCAGGUGUGGGGGCUGGACGCGCCUGCCCCUCCCGGCCCUGAUGGCCAGGGGUGCUGAUGGCCGCCCCAACCGGGGAUGGGCCGCGGUUCCAGACAUGCCCGCGCAGUGUCGAUAGCUACCCCAGCCACAUCUGAGCAGGUGUGAACACAGGUCGAGCCCCGAUGUGAGCAACCCGCCACGGCACAGCUCAACGCGGACCUGUCGGCUGUCGCAUACCCUGACUGCGGCAUCAUCAUGACGUCCCGGUGCUACCUCCCUGGGUGCUAGCUCAAGCCUACAACCCGCUGCAACCCUUAAAGCAUCUUCGAUAACCCGGUGUUUCCGCCUUGUUUGGCUCAGCCAGGCUCAGCACAGCCCAGGUCUCCCCACCCCAGCCCCUUGCAUGUAUGCUUAGUCCGGCUGGGGCUAUGUGUCAGCUUUCUAAGAGGGCGCAUGCACCAUGUCCGCCAUGGCCAUCCCACUCCUUCCCCGCCAGCUUUACCCUGUUCCACUGUCCGCCCUUCUUUGGGAACCCACGUGUCACACUGAUGAGUAACGGAGCGCGCUAAAGCUGACAAGCUGCCUGCUGCUGCGCUGGCUGCUGCAUCGUGGGAAGCCAACGGCCAGAGCUGUGAGUUCUGCUGCGCCCGACAGCUGGCACUUUGAUGCGAAGUCUGCUGCCAUGCAAAGCUGUAACCGCUGGCUUCAGAUCGUUGCAGUGCUGCACGACUGGCUGUUGCUGUGCAGUCCUGCCGCUGUUGCUGUAGCUGCGUAAGAGCACAUGCAAGCAGCAAUUGCGCAAACCCCGAACCCCAUCCGAAAGUCAGAGCCCCCACGCGCCAACACCGCAUGACAACACGCCCGACGAGUCAACCGGCCGCACGCGGGGACAGCAACACACGGGCACAACAUCGACGCACAAUUGGGGCAGCACCGCAAACGCCAACCGCGGCACGCCACGCUCACGCUUCAAUCACGCCCCGCUGCCCUUCUUCGGCACAACCCCACGCGGACCAGCGGGACGGCCCCUGGCCUGCUGCAGAGCGGCUGCUUCCCCAACCCCUGCUGCUGGCCGUGCUGGUGCAGGCGGCGUCGCUGCACGGGCCCAUGCAGCUCGCAGCGACCGCCGCCGUGAUGCGCUCACAGGUGGGGGGCACCGGCGCGUGAUGAACAGACACGACUGUCGCCGGCGGCAGCGCACCCGCGGCACAUGGCAGCGGGCGCGGCGGUCACACGGAGUAAACCGAGCCGCGGUGCCACACUCCGCCACGACCGCAAGCAGCACUUGCCGCCGCCGCCCACCUGCCGCCCAUGCGGCCGCCGCAUCGCGCGGCGCCGUGACGCCCUUGGCUGCGGCUGCUGCAGCUGCGCAAGCCCCUCUCCCUGUCCCUGCCCCCUCCGCUGCAGCGCUCGGAUCGAAGGCUACGGCUGUGACUGGCAGGAGCUGACUGGCGGUGCUGCGGGGCAGCAGGUUGCAAGUGCUGCGCCGCAACCGCGACCGCAGCUGGGCGCCGCCGUUGCAACUGCGGAAUAGCACACGGCCAAAUCAACUGCAUCCGCAUGCUGCAUGCCGCCACGGCGGCCAACUCGCACCACUGUCGCAGCACCACGCCGCCUGGACAUUGCUGCUGCCGCUGCAGAAGCCGCUGCGAUCCGAAGCCCCCGAGCCUGCGCGCGCUCGGAACGCCUGAGCUGCCGGCCGCCCGGCGCGGCCCUGCAGUGCACUGCGACUGUGGCGAGUUUCCUAUGCUGCCGCUGCUGCUGCCGCCACUGCUACAGCAGCCGCCCUGCAUCUGCGCAGCAGCCGCUGGCCGCCAGCACACGCCCGCCGCCAGUCCGCGCAUGGCUAGUGCACCCUCGCCCCCCCGGUGAUCAACCCAUGGCCCGCUGCUGCUGCUGCCGGUCCAGGCCCCCGUGGUCCCCGCUGAGCACCGCCGUGGCUGCUGUUGCUGCUUAAUGCGCCAGCGUCUCAAUCCCAGCCGCCUCGCCUGCCGCCGCCGUUGCUGCUGCCAUUGCGCCCAAGCACAACGGCCGCGCCGCGCGACUCAUCCGCCAGUGACUCAUCCCCAACCCCACGCCGAUUCCACGCAGCCGGCAGCCGCUCACGCUGCCGUGUAAGCUGCCCGGUGUCCGCACAACACCGCUCCCGACCACACACGAUGCAACGCCACGCACGACCGCACACACGCACCCAACACGCUCAAAACGCACCCACGCCGACGCCCGCCCGCACGCGUUCGUCCCCACCUUGGCUCGUCCAGGCCCCUCCACCUUGCCCCCUUACUCACCUUGUGAGACGAUACCCGCACAUGCACCACAGCCGCUCACGCUGCCGCUGCUACGAUAGCCAACUGCAAAUACUGCGCUAUUACACCUGCUGCUGAAUGUAAGCUGCGUCAGAGUAUUGCUGGUGCUGGUGCUGCUGCUGCUGGUACCGAGGCUGCUGCAAGACAGACACGCACACCCGCUGCUGCUGCUGCUGUCGUCCCCACGACGCGCUGCCAAACCCCAACACGACCACCGGCGGGACCUAGGGCUCGAGAAUUUUCUUAAUUUUUUGACGUUACACACGCGAACGUCGUCUUCCCGCAGGUGCAGCUCCGACUACUGUUCCUAGCUCCAAAGCGGCGGGGGUUGGGGCGGCCGGCCGCCCCCGGGGUCGGGCCAGCCCCCCCCGCCGCUGCUCCUGCGCCUCUCCACGCUUCCAGCUUCCAACCCCUGCGCGCGCCUGCGGCCGCUCGCCAGUCCCAAGGCUCCGAUGCUGCUGCUAGCUCCCGCCGAGGGCGCUUAGAACUUCAUCAGGUGCGGGCGGUCGCCGUCCUUCAGGGUGAAGCGGGUCGACAGGUAGCCCUUCAGGUCGGCCGACAGGGCCGGCAGCAGAGCGGCGUCCAGGGUCUUCUGGUUGGCGAUGUACUCCUGGCUGAGCACGUUCUUCUUCGCCUCCGACUGGUCGAAGAACUCCUUCUCGCCCUUCUUGCUCGACUUGCUCUCCACCGCCUUGAAGUAGCUGUCCGUGAACUUCGACAGGUCCAGCUUGGGCAGCGACACCUUGGUGCUGGUGCCAAUCACGUACGCGGCGUUGACGCGACGCACCGGCACACCGUUCAGCUUGAACGGGCCGGUAACGAGCAGCAGGCCCGAAGGCAGCUGGCCCAGGAAGAUGACACGCUUGCCCUUGAAGCGACCGGCCAGCAGAAUCAGCACGGUGCCUGGCGUGAUGCUGGCGCGCAGCUUGGUCUGCUUGUGCACAGCGUUGUGCGACAGAGGCUUGGGCACAUCAUCGGCGGGGUAAAAGCGGGGAGCCUUGCCCUCAGCCUGCUUGGCCACAGCCUUCUUGGCGGGCGCGGGGAA